rnacentral:lncRNA from 1 species
AUCCAGCAGAGAAACAAUAUCUUUGAGAGUUACUUUUCAGUAGAAAGUCUUUCACCUCCUUUGCUUUUGUGUGAGAAAAAUGGCUUACUCCAAGACUUUCCUUCUCAUUGGCCUUCUCUUUGCUGUUGUUCUCAUCCUGUCCUCUGAGGUUUCAGCUCGGGAUCUAGCUGAAACAUCCCAAACUCGUAAGUUAAAUUUCUUUUAGUAGAUGUAAAUUAAUGGCAUGUUAUGUGUUCAUAUAGAGAUGCUUUAUUAACUUAUUUAAAGUAAUAAAUUUCGUUUUCUUAAAUUAUGGCAGAAGUGAGCGUGGAGGAUGCGAAGUACGGUGGGUAUGGACACGGGUACGGCCACGGAAAAGGACAUGGGUACCAAAAAGGACAUGGGCAUGGGCAUGGGAAACCUGGUCAUGGGGGACCUGGCCAUCCACCUGGUCAUGGUGGUGCUGGUGAGGAUGUGGAAGAGGGGACGCAGAAUUAGUGUAAUCAAUCCUUAAUUAUGUGGGCUACGCAUGAUUAGGGUGUGUUUUAUGUAAGUUUAUGAAAGCGUGUGUAUCAAUAAGGCAUGUGGGCUUAGGGUUACUCUCUAAGACCAGCAUGGCUGUGUUGUAGCUUCUAUGCUUAAUAUAAUGCUUUUUCAUGUGCUGUGCUAAAAUGGAGUAUGAUGAAUGCCGUCGGGUGAUCUACCCUUUUUUUUUUUCUUGGGAUUAUAUUAUUUACUUCGGAGUAAUUUUGUUGAGAUAUGAUUUUGUGUAAAUAUACUUACCAUCAUUGGUUUCAAAUUAUAUUAGUUUAUACCCUCACCAACAUACCCACCUCAAAUCUUUACCUAAAAUUGAUCUAAAAACCUAAAAUUUAUCUAAAAAGUAAAUUGUGAACAUGCGAAAUUUAAAACCAGCAACAACUUAGGCUAUGUUUGGUUUUCGAAAAAUUUGAGGAAAAUGUAAAGGAAAGAAAAUAGAGAGGAAAAGUAAAAGGAAAGAAAAGGAAAAUAAAAAAUAGAGUUAAAGAUAAUAAAUCAUUUUUAUUUGUUACUUUAAAUUUAUAUUAUUUAUUUUAAUUUAUCAAUAUAAAAAUUAAAUAAUUUUAAAAUAUAUAAGUUUUUAAUUAAUUUUAAUUAUAUUUAAUUUUCUUUGUAAUAUUUUAUAGGAUAAUUAAAUAUGAGAAAAUCAUUUUUUAUCAUUUUUUUUUUCUUUUGUACUUUUCGGGAACCAAACAUAACUUUAGUGUAUUUACACUCAACCUUAAAAGUAUAAAUGAGAUUAAUUUUUAUUUGGAAUUAUUGGAAUUUGGAUUUGAAAAGAAAGAAAUUUUUUUUUUGAAUUGAGAAAAAAAUGAAGGUAAAAAGUAUAAUAACCAAUUAUAUAGUUAUAAAAAGAAUUUGCAUGGUAAAGCCUUUUAUUGAGAGGUCUUAGUUUUCUUUGAGAUAUUUUAAGUUGAAGAUUAUUGCAGUCAAUCCUAUUUUGUGGGUUAUUUAUAUAAAUUCAUUGAAAUUGUAGCUCGGGAGUAAAUGAAAUACAAAUAGGAUAUGCAUUCUCAGUCCUCUAUUUAAGAAACCAAAUGUAGUAUAAAAAAAAAUACUUAUGCAAUUUAAUAUAACAAUAAUACUUCCUAUCCAACACUUAGUCCAAGAGUUACUUAUAUUCCCAUUUUUAUAAGUAUACCAAAUAUAAUUAUUGUUGGUGCACAAUGAAUGAUUACUCGAUUUGGGUAGUUUUUUCCACUGGAUUGGAUGAUUUUGUAAAAAACGAGUCGUUGGAUGGUUGUUUUGGGCAUCCUUCUUCAAUGGUUAAGUUAGUUUGAGAAUUUUUAAGGCAAAUAUUUUGUAUGGGUUUAGAGUGUAUAUCUUUAUUUAUUUUUAACGUUCGAUGUUCUUUUAUAAUAGAGGCAUCUUAUAAUGGUGUUUAUAUUUUAUGAUUAUUAUUUAUUGUAGUUUUAGUGCAUGUUAGAGCAUAACGAUUUAGUCAUUGGAAAUGAUUGAUUAUUUAUAUUAUGAAAUAAUUACCUUUGAAAUGACACAUAAUGAUUGUAUUUAUAUUUUUACCAUUGGAAAAAUAAUUAUUGACUCUAAUUUGGUUCUAUGUUAGUCGGGCGAUACAAGUUGUAUCUAAAUCAUUAAAUGAUGAGAUUUUGAUUAUUGAAUGUGAAUAGAAAUGGAGGUGAUAAAAAUUUAAAGGCAUAAAUAAAUGGAAUUAAUGUAUAUAAAAAAAAAAGAUUUGAAAAUGGUUUAAGUGUUGGCAUGCGAGGGUGUCCUUUGUUAUCUAAGAUCGAUUUGAAGAGAAUUGAGAGGUCGGUGGACAUGAGGACAGAUAUGAGAAUGACGUGAGAUGGGACGUAAUCAUUCAAGAGAUAUCAUGUGAGUAGAAAUUAGAAUGUAGUGAACUUUGCCCAUGCAUAUGGAGUUGAAUUUUAAGCUCAAAUCCAACACCUGUCACCCAUGUGGCACUCUCAAUUGACAUAAUAGUGUUGUGUUUUGGACUUGGUGACGUGUGGAGGGACGUACGUAUACAUGAAUGGGCUGUUUCAGGGACUUUUCUCAAUAGUAUAGUAAUUUAAAAAAGUUAUGCUUAAAUUAUUAUAGUAGAAGAAGUUAUUACAAAUAUAUGGUAGUUUUUGCCACAUAGGAGAAAGGAGAGAGGAGAUAGGAGAGAGGGUGAACGGAUAAUUUUUUUUAAAAAAGGGAACUCGUCUCUUGAAGAGACGAGUUCCAUGAAAAAAAAAUAUAUAUUUUUUAAAAAAAAUUCCUAUUUACUCAAGGGAACUCGUCUCUUGACGAGUUCCAUGAAAAAAGACAAGGGAAAGACGAGUUCCUAGGGAAAAAAAAAUAUUUUUUUUAAAAUAUAUUUUUUAUUUAAAAAAAAUCCUAAAUUAAAUUAUAAAAAAAAUUUCCUAAAGGGAACUCGUCUCUUCAAGAGACAAGUUCCCAUGUAAAAAAAUUUUUUUUUUUUUUAAAAUAUAUAUAUUUAAAAAAAAAAAAUUUCCUUUUUUUUUAAUUUGGGAUUUUUUUAAAAUAAAAAAUAUAUUUAAAAAAAAAAUAUUUUUUUCCCAUGGGAACUCGUCUCUUCAAGAGACGAGUUCCCUUUAGCAAUUUUGAGAAAUUGUUUUUUUUUUUUUAAUAUAUAUAUAUUUAAAAAAAAUAUUUUUUUUACAUGGGAACUCGUCUCUUGAAGAGACGAGUUCCCUUUGGAAUUGUUUUUUUUUUUUUUUUUUAUUUGGGAUUUUUUUUUAAAAAAAAUAUUUUUUUUACAUGGGAACUCGUCUCUUGAAGAGACGAGUUCCCUUUGGAAUUGUUUUUUUUUUUUUUUUUUUUAUUUGGGAUUUUUUUUUUUUAAAAAAUAUUUUUUUCCUAUGGGAACUCGUCUCUUGAAGAGACGAGUUCCCUUUAGGANNNNNNNNNNNNNNNNNNNNNNNNNNNNNNNNNNNNNNNNNNNNNNNNNNNNNNNNNNNNNNNNNNNNNNNNNNNNNNNNNNNNNNNNNNNUUUUAUUUAUUUAAAAAUAUAUAUUUUUUUUUACAAGGGAACUUGUCUCUUCAAGAGACGAGUUCCCUUUAGCAAUUUUGAGAAAUUGUUUUUUUUUUUUUUUUAAUAUAUAUAUAUUUAAAAAAAAAUAUUUUUUUUACAUGAAGAGACGAGUUCCCUUUGGAAUUGUUUUUUUUUUUUUAUUUUUUUAUUUUUUUAUUUGGGAUUUUUUUUAAAUAAAAAAUAUAUUUUAAAAAAAAAUAUUUUUUUUCCCAUGGGAACUCGUCUCUUGAGUUUCCUUUAGGAAUUUUUUUUUUUUAAAAUAUAUAUAUAUUUUUAAAAAAAAUAUUAUUUUUACAUGGGAACUCCCUUUAGGAAUUUUGAGGAAUUGUUUUUUUUUUUUUUUAAUAUAUAUAUUUUAAAAAAAAAAUAUUUUUUUUUACAUGGGAACUCGUCUCUUGAAGAGACGAGUUCCCUUUGGAAUUGUUUUUAUUUUUUUAUUUUUUUUAUUUUUAUUUUUAUUUUUAAUUUGGGAUUUUUUUAAAUAAAAAAUAUAUUUAAAAAAAAAAAAUUUCCCAAGGGAACUCAGGAAAUUUUUAUUUUUUUUAAAUAUAUAUAUUUUUAAAAAAAAUAUUUUUUUUUUACAUGGGAACUCAUCUCUUCAAGAGACGAGUUCCUUUGAGGAAUUGUUUUUUUUUUUUUUUUUUAAUAUAUACAUUUAAAAAAAAAAAUAUUUUUUUUUUACAUGGGAACUCGUCUCUUCAAGAGACGAGUUCCCUUUGGAAUUGUUUUUUUUUUUUUUUUUAAUUUUUUAAUUUGGGAUUUUUUAAAUAAAAAAUAUAUUUUAAAGAAGAGACGAGUUCCUUUAGGAUUUUUUUUAAAUAAAAAAUAUAUUUAAAAAUUUUUUUUUUUCCCAUGGGAACUCGUCUCUUGAGUUCCCUUAGGAAAUUUUUUUUUUUAAAUAUAUAUAUUUAAAAAAAAAAAAUAUUUUUAAAAAAAAAAAAUUUUUUUUUACAUGGGAACUCGUCUCUUCAAGAGACGAGUUCCCUUUAGGAAUUUUGAGGAAUUGUUUUUUUUUUUUUUAAUAUAUAUAUUUUAAUUAGGAAUUUUUUUUUUAAAUAUAUAUAUUUUUUUAAAAAAAAUAUUUUUUUUUACAUGGGAACUCGUCUCUUGAAGAGACGAGUUCCCUUUGGAAUUGUUUUUUUUUUAUUUUUUUUUUAUUUUUUAUUUUUUUAUUUGGGAUUUUUUUAAAUAAAAAAUAUAUUUAAAAAAAAAAAUAUUUUUUUUCCCAAAGGGAACUCGUCUCUUCAAGAGACGAGUUCCCUUUGGAAUUGUUUUUUUUUUUUUUUUAUUUUUUAUUUUUUAUUUUUUAUUUGGGAUUUUUUUAAAUAAAAAAUAUAUUUAAAAAAAAAAAUAUUUUUUUCCCAAAGGGAACUCGUCUCUUCAAGAGACGAGUUCCCUUUGGAAUUGUUUUUUUUUUUUUUUUUUUUUAAAUUUGGGAUUUUUUUAAAUAAAAAAUAUAUUUUAAAAAAAAAAUAUUUUUUUUCCCAUGGGAACUCGUCUGAAGUAGGAAUUUUUUUUUAAAUAUAUAUAUUUUAAAAAAAAAUAUUUUUUUUUACAUGGGAACUCGUCUUUUUUUUUUUUUUUUUUUUUAAUUUAGGAUUUUUUUUAAAUAAAAAAUAUAUUUUAAAAAAAAUAUAUUUUUUUUCCCAUGGGAACUCAUCUCUUGAAGAGACGAGUUCCCUUUAGGAAUUUUUUUUUUAUGGGAUUAUUUUUAAAUAAAAAAUAUAUUUAAAAAAAAUAUAUAUUUUUUUUUCCCAGGGGAACUCGUCUCUUCAAGAGACGAGUUCCCUUUAGUUCCAAAUUGUUUUUUUUUUUUUUUUUAAUUUGGGAAUUUUUUAAAAAUAAAAAUAUUUUUUUAAAUGGAAACCCGCCCCUUGGAGAAAAGAGUUUCCUUGAAAAAUGGUUUUUUUUUUUUUUUUUAAUUUGAAAAUUUUUUAACAAUAAAUUAUAUAAUUUUUUCCAGGGAACCCCCCUCCUGAAAAGACAAGCUCCCCAAAGAAAAGGGGAAUUUUCUUAAAAAANNNNNNNNNNNNNNNNNNNNNNNNNNNNNNNNNNNNNNNNNNNNNNNNNNNNNNNNNNNNNNNNNNNNNNNNNNNNNNNNNNNNNNNNNNNNNNNNNNNNUUUUUUUCCCAUGGGGAACUCAUCUCUUGAAGAGACGAGUUCCCUUUAGGAAUUUUUUUUUUAUGGGAUUAUUUUUAAAUAAAAAAUAUAUUUAAAAAAAAUAUAUAUUUUUUUUCCCAUGGGAACUCGUCUCUUCAAGAGACGAGUUCCCUUUAGUUCCAAAUUGUUUUUUUUUUUUUUUUUAAUUUGUGAAUUUUUUAAAAAUAUAUAUAUUUUUUUUAAUGGGAACUCGUCUCUUGAAGAGACGAGUUUCCUUGAAGAAUUGUCUUUUUUUUUUUUUUUAAUUUGAGAAUUUUUUUACAAAUAUAUAUAUAUAUUUUUUCAUGGAACUCGUCUCCUGAAGAGACGAGUUCCCUUAAGUAAAUGGGAAAUUUUCUUAAAAAAAUAUAUAUAUUUUUUUUCAUGGAACUCGUCUCUUCAAGAGACGAGUUCCCUUUUUAAAAAAAAUUUAUCGAUUCACCCUUUCUCCUAUCUCCUCUCUCCUCUCUCUCACCUUCUCUCCUAUCUCCUUUCUCCUCUCUCCUAUGUGGCAAAAACUACCAUAUAUUUGUAAUAACUUCUUCUACUACAAUAAUUUAAGCAUAACUUUUUUAAAUUACUAUAUUAUUGAGAAAAGUCCCUGUUUCCAGUUUCCAACUAUGUCAUUAAAGGAAGGUUCAUGAUUUUUUUGGAACUUUAAAAUGAUAUGACAAACACAGCGUAGCAUUUUUCUUAAAAGGAAAUCCAUAUAAAACAAUUUAUAUUUCUAAUUACCAAAUUCUUCGUACCAAUAUUUAGAGUGUUUGAUAAUAAUUAUAAAAAAUAUUUAUACUUUUUUUAACACCAAAAUUUUUUUAUCUUUCACAUAUAAAAAAGUUAAAAAUACUUUCUAAAACUUUAAUACAUUCAUUUUCAUUUGAAGUGGGUAAUCGAGGCAAUGUUUGUCUUUUUCUUUUUGAAUUGUUGCUAUCUUUGAGUUAAUCCUUUGGAGCCUCAUUCUACAGUAUGAAGAGAAGAACAAGUAAAAGUGGUCCUCCAUCAGUAAGUUAUUAACAAUUACCCAAUGGCAAGGUGGGAAAUUUGAUAGGAUAAAAAAAAAAAUCCUUAAAUGGACAUUUCAUUCAUUUGAAUAACAUGGAAAUGAAAUCCCAUGAGUGAAAUUUUAAUUCUUCCUAAUUAGGGGUAUUUUAAUUCCAUAGUAUAACUUAUUUUUAAAAUUACUUUUCAAAAAUUAAAAAAUUAAAGACCUUUUUAGAUAAGUUAUUUUUAAAAUUAAUUUUUAUUUUGAUUUUGUAAAACAUACAAAUUUUAGAUUCAAUUUAUAUAAUAUAAAUUAAGGGUGCUUUUGACAAUGACUCUAGGAAGCCUUUUUUUUUUAAUCCUAAAAUGUGUUUUUGAAAAAAAAAUAAUUAGGUGUUUGACAAAUUUUAGGAAACACUUUUAAAAAUUUGAAGAGUGUGUUUGACAUUGAUUUUAUAAAAUAAUUUUUUUUUUUACAUUUUUAAUACUUGAAAAAUAAAAUUUUUAUAGUGUUAGAAAAAUUAAAAGUGCCUCUUAGAAUCACUACCAAAUGGGGUCGAAAAAUUACUUAUAAUGUUUUUUUAGACAAACACUUGAUAGAUGAUUAUCCUAAAAACACUUUUAAAGAAAAUACUUUCACUAAAAACAUUUCUGAGUAGUAACAUUAAUUGAUUUAUUUUGUUAAAAAUAAAUAAUAAUAAUUUCCAAUACUAUUUAUAUGAUUUUAUAAAUAUUAUAAAAAUAUGGAUAUUAACAUAUUAUAAAAGCAUAAUUAAUUUAUUUUGUUAAAAAUAAAGAAUAAUUAUUCAAAAUUAAUAAUUGCUAAUACUAUUCUAUUUUAAAUAAAUAUAAAAACAAACAAAAUUUAAAAUUUUAAGUUAUAAAUGAGCUAAAAUUUUCAAUAUGUAUGCAUUUAUUACUUAAUUAUGAAGAUGACAUUGUGAAUUAUUUUAUUUGAUCUAUAAUUAAUUAAUUAAUUAUUUAAAUUUUGAAUUAUUCUUAAAAAAUUAUAUAUAUGUUUUAAAUUCUUUAAUAAAUCUUAUCAUUUUUAAAAGCAAAGUAAAAUAAAGAAUUGUUCAAUACAAAGUCUUGUUUAAUUUGAAAUUCAUUGUUAGGAAAGAAAAAAAAAUUCAGAAGAACAGUUCUCUAUUUUACUUUGCUUUUAAAAAUUGUGUUUAAAGAACAACAACCAUAUAGUGAUAUAAAUUUUUAAAAACAAUUUUGUUUUUAAAUCACACGACCAAAUAGGAUUUUAUUACCGGGACCCCAGAUCUUUCUGUUCUCAUACCUUGGAUCGUAUAGGUGCAUGUAAACUACUCUAUGCCUUUAGAUCUUAUGUAAUGGAAGCAAAAAAUAAAAUUUUAAUAUUCUAAGAUAUAAAGAAAAGUCAUUAGAAAACUUUACCUUUAAUUUAAACGUUUUCAAAUCAAUUUCGCUCAAUGAAGUUGAAGCUUGAACAGUUCGAAGGUCUCGUACACCCAAGAUUUUCCUCUCAAUGACUCGAAUUACGAUCUUAACACUCCAAAGUGUAGGCUUUGGGAGGGAGGAAUCCUAGGCUCUUUAUCUUUAGAGGUAGAAGACGACUAUCUUUCAAAGUGAUGAAAACCCUAACUCCUAGGGGGUAUUUAUAGAGUUUCCUUAUUAGGCUUAAGUGACUUGAGCCUACCAAGGCUUAAGUGACUUGAGCCUACCAAAGCUUAAGUCAUUUAAUUUAGUCUAAAAUGGGUCCUAAUUAAUUAAUUAACUAUAUAUGUCUAUUUAAUUAAUUAAUUCGCACAUUUUAAAGAACUUGUUUGCUAUUCCCUAUGCAACCUUGCAUAAUUAUCAAAAUGCUCUUAUGCACAAAAGUGAAUUGAGAGUCAAUCCAAACCUCAUAAACCGUACCACCAUGAUAUAUGAGCUCAGAGUGGGGAUUAUUGGGACCAAUAGGAGUAUUGAUUUCCUCAAAAUCCAAAUAUGAAGUUGAUUCAAUAUUCCAUUAAAGAGAAUCAACCGCACUUUUAGUACCUUAUAUAAAUAUUAACGAGACAAAACUCAGGCUUGUGACUUACUAUCCACUGUAUGUAAACUUCUCAUGAACUGAUGUUUGUAAUUUAAUAAGGUAGUAUUAUUAUCUAUCAAGAUUGCCUCUAUAAUCCUUGAGUUAUAGAUCUCAUUUAUCAUGUAAUCAAUUGACAUACUCUAACUCUAAGAAGUAUAUGUAAUGCCCUAAACCCAAGAGUAAAAUCAUAAUUUAAAAUAAUAAAUAAUUUAAUAAGGGUAAAAAUGUCUUUUCUUAUUUAAAAUUCCUACGUAUAAAUUAAAUAUUUUUUAUAUUCUCUACUCAAAAAAUCCUUUUACAUGUAGAUAGAAAAUAUCAAAGAGCGUAGGGUUUGAAUAUCAAUUUUUCAGGUAAGAUUUUAAUUCUUAAAUUAAUAUUUUAUAUUUGUUAAUUAGUUUUAAACACUUUAGAUAUCUUUUUGGAAGAUCUCAAUCUAGAUUAUGGUUUGUUAAAUUAAUUUUUAGAUCAAAAGACUGAAAAUUUAUGAAUGUGGAUUAAUUUAUGAUGAAAAUAUGAAAAUUUAGAAAAUUUUAAUUGAAUAGAAAAAAAUGAAUAAAAAAUCAAUGGAAGAAAAAAAAUUUUAAAAUUUUAAAAUAAAUAAAUAAAUUGUUUGUGGAGGCUUUAGAUUGGAAAAAAAGAAAAGAAAAGAAAAUGUGUAGAUAUAUUUACCAUGUGAAAAAAAUAAUAAAAUAAAUAAAUAAAUAUAAUGGGAGGCGUGUAGGUGGUUUUGUAGAAUGUUGUGGGAUUAAAAAAAUAAAAUAAAAUGAAAUUGGAGGACACCUGUGUUGCCAAAGUGUUGAGUUCACUAUAAGAAAAAAGGGUAAUAAUGACGCUUUUUAGGCGUCAAUAAAUGUAUACGAUGACGCUUCUCGAAAGCGUCCUUUUCGCCUCUGUCAAGGAAUGGGUGCAGGCAACCAUGUCGCUUCUAGACAGCGUCAUUGUUGAUUGGUUUAUAUUAACACGUUAAAAAACGUCAUUAUUGAUCUACCUAUGUUAACACUUACACUAGCGCCAAGGAAUGGCCAAAAUAUCAUUUGUCUAUUUCGACGCUAAAAAAAGUGUCAUCUUAUGUGGAUAAUAAUAUUGAAAAUCCCCUUGUUGAAAUGAUAUAUUUUGUAUGUCCUGUUAUAUAUAAUUUUGGCUGCAUGAUUAUUUAUAAAGUAUUAAACAAUAACUUCAAUAUUAAUAACUACAUCUUCCAAAAGAAAUUGAAUAAAUUUGGGAAUAAUAUAAUGAUAAAGAACUAAUGUCUACAUAGUUAAUUAAUACGCAAAUUUGUAAAUGUAUCAAAAUAUUUACAAGCAUAUUUUCCAACUUCAACAUAUAUAAAACAAGUACACAUGUACCAAAAAGCAAGGUCUCCAAAUUCCUUAUCAAAAAUAAUAUUACAAGAAGAAGAAGAAGAAGCCAAAAGUAUUUAUAGCCAAAAGUAUUUUUGUUUGGUAGCAUAUCCACUCCUGAACUUGAAAUCUUUUACCUGUAUACAUUUAAAAAAAAAAUAAUAGAAGAAACAAAUUAUGUUUAGUUAAUAUACAUGCAAUGAAAGUUAAAUCUAAAUCUAUAAAUGGUCCAUGAAAGAAGUGCAAAUGAGAAUAACUUGGUAUUUAAUGAGAUGUUAUGCUUCAAUGAAGAUGAAAAAUUGUUUAAUUUGAUACUUGUUUAUAAAAUAUUAAAAUACUUUUUUAGUUCAUUAUUAAGUUAGAGGAAACAAGUUAGGCUUUCAAUGGUAUAAAUUCUACAAUAUGGAAUGUAAUAUAAUAUUUUCUUAUCUAUGUCUAACAUAUCAAACUCAUUUCUCAGAAAUAAAUAUAUGAAUAUACCAAUAGGUAUGGUUUAUAAUUAGUUUCAAUCAUAAAUCAUCAUAUCUAGUAAUAUAAGACAUUUAAUAUUAACCAUUUGCAAAUGCCUUAAUUUCUUCUUACAACUUUCCUAUAUUACCAAAUUUAGUUAACUAAUAACAUUCCAUAAGGAAAAAAAGAGUAUUAAACUAAAAAUUAAAAGAGCAUAACCAAGGCAAUAGAAACCUACAAAUCAUUGGUUAAAUGUCAUAAUAACAACCAUUCUAAAACUUGCCUUUAUUUUCAAUUCCAAAAUUAUAACCCAAAUAUAAUAAUUAACCCUACACAAAAAAAAGCUCUCUACCAUCCCUCCAUCCAACAACAACCUGUUGAUGCAACAACAAUAACUUCUCCAUACAACAAUAACAAUUUCUCCAUGUAACAACAACAACAACAACAAUAACAAUAACAAUAACAAUAACAUUGAUGAUCAAUGGUGAUAAUUAUAUUAGUAAUAAUUUGAUUUGUUUAGUCCAAACAUAUAACAAUAACAACUUCUCUAUGCAACAACAACAAUAAUAAUGACAACAUUGAUGAUCAUGAUAUAAUAAUUUGAUUUAUUGAGUUCACAAAUUAUAUGCUUCUUCUCCAUACAACAAUAACAAAAAUAACUUCUCCAUGUAACAACAUUGGUGAUGAUGUAAUAAUUUGAUUUGUUAUAUUGAAAUAGUUUAUGUAUAAAACUAUUAUAUUCUAUCACUAUGGAGGAAAAAAUUACUUAUCAUGAGAUGAGAACUUAUGAGAAUCGUCAAAAUGUGAUCUACAACUCUUACUGGACUGAAAUGAGGGCAUCUGCAUACAUAAGAUGGUAAAUUAAAAAAAUUAGUCCAUUCAAGACUUCAUUAAUAAUGAAAAUCAAGCAUUUUAGAUGUUAAUUUAUACCUUCAGGCAUGGGUAAGAAUCAAUUGAGUUGCCAACAUAACCCACUCAGAUCGUACUUCAUUAAGCUCAACUUCACUAUACGAUUUUUUCCCUUUAAACUAAUAAUUAAUUGUACAUACAUGAUGAUUAGUUAAGUUAACAAAAAAUUACUAAAGUAUAGAAACUAAUAAAAUUUAUUAAUGAGUAUAUACAUUUGUGGAUAGGAGGCUUGGAUCAACAAUUAUAUCUUUCAUGUAUCUCAUCACAUAAUAACCACACUCCACACUUCCUAGUUGUCCUGGGCACUAUAGGCACACAUAUGAAUUAUNNNNNNNNNNNNNNNNNNNNNNNNNNNNNNNNNNNNNNNNNNNNNNNNNNNNNNNNNNNNNNNNNNNNNNNNNNNNNNNNNNNNNNNNNNNNNNNNNNNNUAUCUUACUCUAACCAAAUUAACUUACCACUACUUUUACCCAUGUCGGCUCCCUCUUUGAUGAUCUUUGUUUCUCUGGUGGAUGAAUUCGUAGUGCCCUACAUGGAAAAGAAAAUUAACAUUUUAGAUACUAUGCACUAUAUUCAAGUAUGGAAAUGAAGACACUUACAUGUUAACAAUUUCCUUAAGAUCAUCACAUGGUUGCUUUUGCAUCGGAUCAAGGUAGUACGCAGUCAUUGUCCUCAUAUCCAAUGCCACCAAGACCCAGUGGAAACUAUAAUAGUACAUUAGAUAUUAUUUAGUAAUUAGCAUUGAUUAAGCUAUUUAACAUUAAAAAAAAACUUAAUAUUUUUCAUAACUUACUCAGGGUUAUAUGGAAUAAAAAUGUAGUCAGCACGCUUUGCAUGCAUUAAACGAUUUGCAAUCAACCUUGACCUAUUUUCCUUUGUUGUCUCACCCAUUCCAGCUUUAGAGACUAAAGCUGGAUUGAUAAAAGCAAAUCGUUCGGUGAGCCUUGCAUUACUUAGCUUUUUCUGUAGGUGCCUGUUUAAAUUCCACAUACCUUGAUAAGAAAUGACCAUUUUACUUUUAUAUAUAUAUAAAUUAACACACAUUAGCAAGUUAUAAAAUUAUUUACCAUAUAUAAUAUAUGACACAAUUAGCCGACACUUUCUUAAAUGAAAUUAUCAUAUCCAUGUCUUCUUUCAUAAGGAAGGUCUUAAAACUCUCGCCAAAUACAUCAUUUGGGACCUCCACACCUUGUGCUUUCCCCUCAUUUAGCAUGAGACCUACUAAUGCAUCAAAAUUGUUGAUAUCUUGAGGGUUUUCACCAAUUUUCAAGUCAUUUUCUGUUGUUUUUUGUCUUUUCCCUUUGUGAGAUCCCUAUAAAAGAAAGCACCAUGUUUUCAAAUGAUAUACAUAUCUUUAUAAACUAUUUCAAAUGAAAAUAACACACCUUAAUGAAUUUAGUACUCAAAUUGACUAAAUGGGUUGGCCAUAAAACUUGGUAGCCCACUACCGCUCCAAUUGUUGUAGCUUGUCCAGGAAUGGGAAUAGGAAGUGGUGUAUUUGACUUAUAGGGAGCAUCCAAAACAACUAGGUAGUUGGGCCCACAAUCCAUUACAAUUAUUCCACCAGCCACUGUAUUUUCUCUGGUCCCUACUGCUAACUCACAUUUUCUUGCCUUCAAAAGUAAAUUAAAUUGUUAAUUUCAAUAUAAAAAAGAAUCAAUAAAUGAAGUUUAAAGUGCAUUGACUAUGUUAGGGCUAUAUUUAAGACAUAAAGUUACAUAUUUUAUAAGUAAUAGUUGUAGUGGAAUAGAAUAUUACUAGUAGUAAUUAUGCUGUAAUAGAAUCUACCUAAAAUGUAAGUAUCAAUCUAACAAAAAUAAAAGCAAUUGGAAGAAAUUAUUUAUGAAAAUUAUCUAGGAAUUUGUGACAAUUACGUCAUUGAACUAGGAAAUGUAAACUAAAAAUAACACACCUUCAUGUGUGGUUCUAUUUUCACAGGUAAGGUCUCCUCUUCAACUUUACGAAUUGGUUUCUCCACUACUUCUGGUAGAAGCAACAGUUUUGAUUUCAUGUUGGAACUACUCACAUCGGAUUGUGGUGUAGCAACUCCUAUCUGAGAUAGUCUCGCUAACACAUCAGCCUCAAACUUAACUUGACGUUCUUGAGUUGCUUUUAAAAUAUCCCUCACAACACGUUCUGACAUACUAUUGAAAUAUCAUCCAGGCGUGUAGUGCUUCCCUUUAGCUCGAACCCAACCAGUAUACUCAGGAGUACCUAGUGCUUGAGAAAGUAUGUCAUUGCUCCCACUAUAGCUUAUGCCACUCUCUUGAGACUCUUUUAUCAAUUCAUCCUAAAACAAAAGGAAGUUAUGAAGUUAACUUUCAAAUAAGUAAAACCAAAUAAGGUGUUUAAAGAUGUGAUUUUUGGGUACAAAAUGUCUACUUACUAUUUUUUCCAUUACCGGUAGGACCACAUCAUCAUAGUUGCCAUCUUUUUUUUGCAUUGCCCUCUUCCAAAGUAAACUUCUAUCAAUGCUUUCUAUGGAGCCAGCUUCAAUCAUCUAAUAGAAAUGGAAAAUUAAAGAUAGUUAUUAGAUGACACAUGUGGUUUUAUUUCUAUUUUUUUGUCAGAAAAGAAACAAUUAAGAAACCCAUAUAAAAUAUUCCUUCAUUACUUAUACAAUCAUAUAAAAUUAAACCACAAUAAGAACUAACAAAAACUUACCAUCUCUUCUUCAAGUCCAGCAUACCCUUUUCUACUUAGAUGAUGAUUAUAUAUAUGCUUCUUUCUUCUCUGUUUUUGUACUUCCCUAUAUUCCUAAAAAUUAAAAUGGAUGCUUAGUAUAUAUAUGUGGAUGCAUGUAGUAUGUUUAAUGUUAAUUGUAUUUGUACCUGGAAUUUUUCAGACAACCUAGUUUUCACAAAAAUAUUCCAAUCUUCAUCAUCGAUAAAAUGAUAUUCAGCUGGUGGUUUCUUAAGAAGCUCUGGCUGAUCUUUGAAAGGAAGAAUAUGUUUCACAGUCAACGUGUUCUUAAAAGAUCGAAAACAUUUUCCCAAUGUAAGCAUACAAUUCCUUCUACUUUUCUUGUCUAAUGUAAAAGCAAUCUACAAAUUAUAAAGUCAUUAGUUUCUCAAAAUUUGAAAGAAAUAUAGAGAUUGUAGAAAACUUAUUUAUGUUAAAAAAAAAAGUAACCUCAAUAGAGUCCCACAACUUAUCCUUCAAUUGUUCAGGGACAUCUCGCCAUGUGUUAUAUCUGAUUGGUACCAUCGUACGUGCCAAUACACCUAAGUAGCUUGUUAGGUGCACAGAAGAUUCUCCUACAUAGAUACCAUCAACAUUGUACUUUAUGACCAACUUUAUCCCUCUAUUCCUAUUCCUUAUAAUCAUGGAUUUCCUUGUUGUCCCUCUAUAUUUUUUUUGUGAAGGGGUUUUCUCUUCCUUUGAAUCCAUGCCUAUAACACAUCAAUGAGAAAUGAUAAGUAUACCCAUUAAUUGCAAGUAAAAUUGAAUUUUUUAUAACAUGAACUCAUAUUAGUAACAUGAACAUACUAGGAACAUUUUACAUGCUAGAUAACAAUAUUCACAUGUUGUCAUGAAAUAUUUAAAAAUAAUAAUAAUAAAAACUUACUAGAAGAUCCUCACCAAACUUUUUUCUUAUGGAACUAGAAAUCAUAAGCUUUGAGCUGAGACAAAUUGAUAUCCUUGUAUUACCCUUUAGAUCACUCUGAGAUAUGUGUAUAAUAAUAAUCAUGAAAUAGGGAAUCAAUAAAUUUAGAGACAUGAUGAAUUUAAUCCACUUAGAAAAUAAAUAAGCUAUUUACUGAAAUGCAGAAUUUCAAUAUUAACAAGUUAAUGGGAUAGUUACAACCUUCAUAACAAAACAACAAGGUCAUAAAUUUAGUUACAUAGAAGAUUUGUUAUCAAUCCAGAAUCCCUCACAGUCUCCUCGAAUGCAAAUGACAUCAGAGUCAUCCAUUGUAUCAAAUGAUUCAACUUGUGCCAAGGUGGUAAUGAGAGGAUGGUGUUCAAUAGAAUUAUCCAUGAAGUCAUCAGAAUCCUUUGCUGAAAAUGAGAAGUCCCUUUCAGGAGUUGACAAAACAACUGACCAUCUUGGAUCAAGUUGGUUUUGUACAUAGAAUACUUGCUUGGCUUGGGAGGCUAAAAUAAAUGGAUCUGAUUUAUGAGCCAUCUUAGUGAAGUCAACUAAUGUCAGCCCAAACUCAUCAACUUUGAUGCCGCUCUUAUUAUCAACCCAAUUACAUUUGAAAACUGGAAUCCUAAACAUGGUAUAAUCAAGAUCCCAUAUCUCAGUAAUAAUACCAUAGAAACAUAGCUCACUAAAUACUGGAUUCUUAUCCUUGGCACUAGAAAUUUGCAUUGUUGUUGCUACAAUGCUAACUCCACUAUUCUGGGUAACUCGUAACUCAUCACGGUCUUUUGUGUUGUACUGACACCCAUUUAUAACAUAGCCAUGAUACUUGGCCACGUAGUGGGUAGGACCAUGUGCCAUCCAUCUUAAGGUUUCAGAUAUAGGUUCUUUGUCAGCAAUGACAACUUCUACCUGUUUGAAUGGACCAUAGUUAUUAAUAUUUUUUAUGAUAAGUGCUAAGAAUGGUGCAAUUUUUAGAAUAAAUUCAAUACCUUUUUUCGCAACCAAUGAGUGAAUGUUCGCAUGUGUUCUUCUUGUAGCCACUUUUGUCUCUUAGAUUGACGAGGAUUGUUCAAUUUCAACCAUUUCAUGUGUUCUCUAUAAGAUAUGUAUAAGAAAGUAACAAUAAGUUUCCAAAAUUAGUUUAAGUAAUCUACACAUAAAAUCAAAAUAGUUGACCCUUACUCGAUAUAAGGUUGGAUGAUAGUUGUAUUUUCCAACACAUAAUGAUGUGCUUGCAACAAAAAAUUACAAUCAACUUCGGUGAUAUGACCUCCAGGAAUAGGCGCCCCAACUUUAUGGUCAACAUUAGUGCUACUAGGAACUCCAAUUGCAUCCACAUUUGAUAAGUACUCUGUACAAAAUUCAAUAGCUUCCUCUGCAAUGUAGCAUUCAACAAUGCAACCUUCAGGGUGGUUACGGUUUCACACAUAACCCUUUAAUACUUUCAUGAACCUUUCAAAUGGGUACAUCCAUCUAAAAUAAACCGGUCCACAAAGUCUCACCUCUCUAACAAGAUGAACCGUUAAAUGAAUCAUGAUAUCAAAGAAGGAUGGCGGAAAGUACUUUUCAAGCAAGCGCAAUGUCACAACAAGUUCAUUUUGUAACUUAUCCAAUGUAGACACAUCAACCACCUUCUUACAUAAAGCAUUGAAAAAAAGGCUCAAUCUAGCAAUAGCAUGUCGUACAUGCUUUGGCAAAAGUGAUCGCAAUGCCACUGGUAACAAUUGUUGCAUCAGUGUAUGAUAAUCAUGAGACUUCAGGCCAUAAAGGUUCAAAUCUUCCAUUGACACAAGAUUUCUAAAGUUUGAGCAAUACCCUUCAGGAACCUUUAACUCAGCUAAAGUUUGACAAAAUACUUUCUUCUCCUUUCUAGACAAUGUAUAACAUGCAAGCGGAAGGUAAGUUCGAUUCGAUUCAAACCUUAGUGCCAGUUUACACCUUAAGCCCAUGUCCAUAAGGUCCAGACGAGAAUUGAGUCCAUCUUUUGUCUUCCCUGGGAUGUUAAGUAAUGUACCAAUGAUGCUUUCACAAAUAUUUUUCUCAAUGUGCAUUACAUCCAAAUUAUGACGAACAUGCAAAUAUCUCCAAUACUCAAGUUCAAAGAAUAUAGACUUUUUCUUCCAACAAUUGGUAUAAGUCACAUUGGAUUUUUCAUGUCUUCCCCUUUUUUUCCCCCAUGAAUUACAAAUGACAUUCAUUUUCAAUAGUAUUUCCUCUCCACUUAAUGGUUGUGGAGGUGAUCGAAACUCCUGCUCACCAUUGAAUGCCUUUCUAUGUUUUCUAAAAGGAUGAUUGCAUGGAAGAAAACGUCUGUGGCCUGUAAAUGAGUUCUUUCUCCCAUGCUUUAACCUAUGUGAAUAGGUUUCCGGUCCAUAUAUUGGACAAGCAAAAUAUCCUUUGACUAUGCAACCAGAUAAGUUUCCAUAUGCAGGAAAGUCAUUUAUUAUCCAUAAUAGAACAACCCUUAAUGUAAAGACCCCUCUUUGAUAUGCAUCAUAAGCUUCUACCCCUAUCUCCCACAAGGUUUUAAGGUCCUCAAUCAAUGGUGCUAAAUAGAUAUCUAUGUCAUUUCCAGGUUGUUGUGGACCCGAUAUUAACAAAGAUAACAUCAUAAAUUUUCUCUUCAUGUACAACCACGGUGGAAGGUUAUAAGUGAUCAUGACAACUAGCCAACAACUAUACCUGCUGCUCAAAGAACUAUGGGGAUUUAUGCCAUCUGCUGAAAUGACAAGUCUAAGGUUUCUAGGUUCUGCAGCAAAAUCAGGCCAUCUAUGGUCAAUUACCUUCCAUGACGGCGAGUCGGAUGGAUGACGCAUUUUUCCAUCAAAUUCUCCACCUUCUGCAUGCCAUAUGAGGUCUUUUGCAAUUUUUGAGGACCGAAACAUUCUUUUAAAUCGUGGGAUAGGUGGAAAAUACCACAUUACUUUAGCAGGAACUCCUUUACUCUUUUUGCUUCCUCUUCUAUUCACCUUCCACCUUGAAGCUCCACAUGUAGGACAUGAAGAUGCAUCUUUUAACUCAUUCCUAAAAAGUAUGCAAUCAUUGGGACAUGCAUGUAUUUUUUCAUAUUCCAUUUCCAAUGCAUUCAAUGUUUUUUUUGCUUCAUACAUAGACAAUGGCAACUCAUUGUUUACAGGCAACAUAUCACCAAGUAAGCUUAAUAGCUCGGAGAAGCUUUUAUCAGACCACCCAUAUCUUCUUUUCAGAUUGUAUAAUUUAACUAAAGUAGAUAAUUUGGUGAAGUUUUUGCAAUCGAGAUACAAAGGUUUUUCAGCAUCUUCAAGCAACCUUUCAAAUAAUUUUGGAUUAGCCUUACAAUCAUCUUAUGCAGCUUCAACCAUUUCUACUGUAUGAUCCACAUUACCAAUAUGAAUUCUAUCAAAACAUUCAACCCUUGUAGUUAGGGGUCCACUACUUAGAGCUGCCUCCCCAUGCCAAAACCAAGUAUGGUAACUUUGGUCAAUUCCAUAAAAGAAUAGGUGUUCUCUAAUCUUUUGAGGAGUAUUGAAGAUCAAAUUUCCACACUAUAGACAUGGGCAUUUGAUGGAGUUUUGAUUUGCAGAAUUUUGAACUGCAAAUGAAAUGAAAUUUUCAACCCCAUCCUCAUAGUCUUUUGAUCUUCUAUCUUUUGACAUCCAGGAACGAUUCAUUUGCCUAUAAUAGUUGAACACAAUUCCUAUAUAGCAAACAUAAGCAAACAAUGGAAAUGGAAAAGACUUAGAAAGUUACCUUUAGAAAACACUCAAAACUUUCAGUUUCUCAUUUGUGACAUCCAAAAUUUCUUUUAAACUUUCUAUGGACAAACAAUUAGGAUUCAAGUGCAAUAAAAAAUUUGAACCUCAUCCUUAAUAAAAAAAAUGAUUAACAAUAUGACAAUAGAACCUUUUGAUGCAUGUUUUUAUGCCUUUUAACAUGUCCAUCAUCCAAAAUCAGGUAGUUGUUCCUAUCCCAUGUAGGAAUACAUAAUCCCUAUGUGUUAAUUGCCAAUAUACUCAAUUUCAUUUUAAAGAAAUUUUGGCAGCAUUUCCCCAUAGUUCUCCAAGUACACAAAAUGAACAAGGUAUAAUAUGUGACCUUGUUCAAAUAUGCACCCAAAGAACAAGAGGAAAUACUACCAAAAUUUCUAAAAAGUGAAUUAAGCACAAGCAAUUAACUUCAUAGAUAUUAUGUUUUCCUACACUGUCCAAUCGGACAAUUCAAACAUCAUUGCAAAAAAAAUAUCUUUAUCACAUUCUAGACAAUUUAAAAGUUGUCAACUUGAAAGUGGCUUAGGUAAAACCUUUUUCACCUUUGACAACUUAAAUGUCUUUAGUAUGUAAUAAGAGAAACUUUUAUCUUACAAUGAUAGUUGAAUGGGAACUCUAAGGUUUCAUGCAUGCAUGUUUGAUUAAAAUUAAAACACAAUUACUUAUUGAAUAAUCUAAUAAUUAUAAAACACCUAAAGUUGUUCCAUAAUUAUUGCUAUAUUUCAUCAUUAAACAAGAUUAUUAUGAGAAAGCAUACGUAUGGCCCAUGAUUUGCGAAUCAAGUCACACCAGUCUAUGUCAUAGCCUUGGGUCAAAAUUUGGGCCUUGGUAUCAAACUAAGCUAGGGAAUAACUCGUACAAUUCAGGUACUCAAUAAGAUUUAAACAAAAUUUAAAAUAACGCUUCCAUUAUAUUCUUUUGACCACCCAAAGUAAAAAUGGUAUUAUGAUUAAAAUAUGUUGGUUUGUAUAAGGAAAAAUAGUGUACCUUCCUCACUCUGUCUUUGUCUCAAGUCUUGCAUCACACACCUCUCGUAGUCCAAUGUAGGUCACUGUCUCUUAAAAUAUGUAUAUGCAAAACAAAUAAUAAAUAAAGAUAUAAAAUAAAUCCAUUAGUAGAUAUUAACAAAUAAAUACAAAAUAAAUUAAAAUAAGAAAUAAACUAAGAAGAAAAAACAUAUAAGUAAGAAAAAAAAGAUUUUCACAUGUGCAACAAUGGUUAGAUAUUUUUAAAAAUUUAUAAAAUUAUUAAAAUCAAACUAUUUUAGUUAUUAUUUUUUUAAAAUGGUAAUUAAUACUCAUAUAAAAUAAAAUAUAUGCAUGAUGAGAAAGGUAAGAAGAUUAUUCCUUGUGCCCUUUUUCAUUUGAGAUUAUGACUUUUGGUGAUGACCUAAUGGUGGGUGAACCGUGAACCACACUAUCUGACCCGGGUCAAGUCCUUAGGGCAAGAAAGAUGACUGCAAGAUGGGUAGAACUUAAACGAAUGAGAUAGAAAAGUCUGGUCUAAAUUAAGGUGGCUUAACAAUCCGUAAUCAUCUUGGUUAGGUUGUAUCAUAUUGUGAAAGAGAAGUUACAGGCUAGGUCUUCAGCAUCCAGCAAUUCCACCCUUUGAUUUUUCCAACAUGUUGCACCAUCUAAUAAUAAUACCUAUGAUCCUAUACCUUAGUUUUGAUUCCUUAUGUAUACAAAGUAUAUAUGGUUACACUACAUUAAAGUUAUUUUUUUUCUCUAAAAAGUAAUUAGUGUAAAUUUUAAAAGUAGGCUAAUAUUCAUUUUUUUUUUCACUUCUUAUUUUUUGUUUUGAAAAUAGAAAAUAGUAACAACUCUUAUACAAAAUAUUUUACUAUUUUUUGUUUUUAAAAUAGAAAGUUAGAAAUUGCAUUUUAAAAGCAAUAUUCUAUUUCAAUCCACACAAAUGAUACAAGUUUUGAAAUAUUCCAUUACCAUAUUUUGAGUAAUAUUUUUAAAGGGUUAAUUUAAUUCAUUUCCCCUCAAGAUUUGACUAAAUAUAAUGGCACCCGAUAAUAUGAAAUUUGAAGAAGUCCAUAUACUCUUCAAGUCUAUAAUUAGAAGUUCCUAGUAAGUUGUCACCCAUACUAAUGAAAUUUCUUGAGUCAACAUUAAUCUCGAACCUUUUUGCUACCUUCAUUACCUAUUUUGCCCCUUUACCACCUACUUAGUCCUCUUUACUUUGACCAUGUGUGUUUCUCUUACUUGCCCCUCUACUUUUAUGAAAGAAGCAUAUAGAAGAAGCCCAUUCAAGUUUUUAAUUUUUCUUUGUUUGGAUCAUUCCUUGAAACCUUCUAAAAUUUCCCUUGUACUUAGCCUCAACAUUACAGGUCCAAUAAAACUCUUAUAAAUAAAAUUAAAAGUGUAAUAAAUAUUAUAAAAUUAUUUUAUUAAAAAAAUUAAUAUAUAUAUAUAUAUUGUAAUUAUUAAAUUAUAUAAAAUCUUAUUCAAUAAUAAUAUUGUGAUAUUUAAUUAUAAUAUGUUUAAUUUUAAAAUAUAUUUAAUAUUAAAAUUAUGAUAUAUUUAAUUAAUAUAUUAGUGAUAUUAAAAACUUUUUACAAUUUAAUUAAAUAAAAAAAUUAUUUACAUAUAAAAUAAUUAUAAUUAAUUUGUUGUUUAAAGGAUUAUUUUAAUAUUUUGUGUAUAUAAAAACUUUUAAUAUAUAUAUAUAUAUAUAUAUAUAUAUAUAUAUAUAUAUAUAUAUAUAAUCAUAAGGGUUUUGAUUUCAACAAGGUAUAUUUUAUUAAGUAAAGAAAGAAGGGCAGCUUCCUUGAACUUUCAAUCCCAACUUGCAGAUUUUACACCUUCGGCAUCACAGGUAUAUUGAGGAGGACAAGGAAAAGUGCCAUCAACGUAUCCUAAGAGGUCGUUGCUAAUUAAAACAGGGAGGAAUUUAUCUUUCCAGAGAAGAUAGUUGGUGGAAUCAAGUUUGAUUGGUAAUAUUCGGUGCAGCAAGUAGAGUGGAAGAAGGCAGUGAAUUCGAAAUAAAAACUGAUAAGAAUGUGACAAAGAAGAAGGAAGAACAAAAGGAUAUGAUGGUGUAGAAAAAUAAGAAGAAGAAAAGAAUAGGGUGAAGGAAUUUAUUUGAGGAGAAUAGGAGAUGACAAAGUUGAUACCUGAGUCAAGAAGGGAGGAAGAGCAGUGGUGGAGAUGACAGAUGGAGGUCCGGCAAGAGUGCUAGGAGGCAAGGACUUAAAAACCUGGGUCAACGACGAUGCCGCUAAGGACGAAACUUGGCUGGGAAUAUCAAUAUGUGCAGCAGACAACAGAAUAGAUGAUGUUUCAAUGGAUGAGGAAAUUUCAGCAGUGGAAGAUGGUGUCGCAGCCAUGGCAGAGGAGAUUAAGAGAGGAUGCAGCAGGAAAGAAAUUGCUAGAACAAUGACAGCGGCAGGUUUAGAAUCCUUUCAACACACCAAAUUUAGAGUCAGACUUGACAGCCUUUCAAAGACGCGGAGGCAUAGAAUAUUCUUGAUUAAAAUAUGUGAGAUCAUAAGCACCAAGGAAAUCAACGACCCCACCACAGCUAUUGCCACUCUCCGCCUCUUCUUCCACGACUGCAUGGUCGAAGGCUACGACACCUCAGUCCUCAUCUUCUCCAACUCCUUCAACACCGCCCAGCACGACGCCGACAUCAACCUCUCCCUCCCAGGCAAUACUGUAUCAAUACAUCCAGAUUGUACGAGUCUUGCCUCUCUAGUCAUCAGUCAUCAUUCAUGACUUUGUAGGAGGGAUGAGGUAGACCAAACAAAGCCUUCGGAUGGGCUCAAAUCUAGCCACAUCCAAGUUCCAAAUUCCUAUCCCCUAAAGUAAAAUUUAAAUUAUUAUUAUUAUUUACAUUCUGUAGAAGUUUCUUCUUUAAAUGAAUUUUAUUUUUGAGAAAACUUGCUAUGGAAAGUCUGCAUCUUGAUUUCAACCGAGACAAACCCAUAUCUUUUGGACCUGGUGCCUCUCCCAAUCCUUGACUGCCCAACAACUAAAAUUCAAACCCAAGCCCACCAAAGAAAAUUUUAAAACACGUCAUGCCUUUGCCAGUUGUUCCCCUCUCAAUACCAUUUAAAAAUCCCCCAUUCUGUAGCUUUCUCAACUGCUGCAGUCGAACCUGUCUUCUCCUUGGUGUACGAACACGACACGUCCAUACCUACAGGCGGUAGAGGCUACACCUCCUUUCCCACGCCCUUGUGCUGGUGCGUGAGCCACCCACCACAUUACCCUCAAGCUCCAUCCCGAUCACCAUGCUGGCUACUACAUCUCCAUGGCAUUACACUAGGCAAAAACAAGGCGACACUUCCCACCACAACUAAAAGGAGAAGCUGAAAUUAUACCUAUUACAACUUGCAGCGUACCAUACAACAACAAGAACAAAAAAUGCACUGUAUUUAUUUGGGAUACCAUUACCCUGAUUUUCUCCUCCCAAAAUAAUUUCCCCAUCUAUGAAACAAUAAUAUUAGAUUUUUGGAACAAUGAAAACCCUUCCAUUUGUCUUCAUUUGUACUAAUCUAUUCAAGUUUGAGGAAAACAACAUUACUUGAGAAAGAGAUUUACCUGUAACUAUGAUGCUCUGUAGUAGAUUUUGACAAUGGUAACCUCCCAUGCAUGGAAGUUAGACAUGGCCAUUCCAACGGAUUAGGGCAUUUUAGUGGUGGACUUAGUGAGAGCUAUAGGGUUUCGGGGUUUCUUCAGUUCUGAAAUUGUGGAGGGAAUGUCUGGCGGGUACUUGUAGAAAGGGAAAAACAUUUAAUUAAUAUAUAUAUAUAUAUACUAUUAUUUAAUGUCACCUAAUAUAAGUGCCAUGAAAUAUCACAACUAUGACACUGCUAUAAAGUGUCAUGGAAUAACCAGUUAUUCUUAUAAGUGCCACAACAAGCAAUGAUACUUUAAAUAAGCGCCAUGAAAUAAAAAAGCUAAUAUAAAAAAUGACCCUUUUGAAAAAACGCCAUUGUAUAUCCAAAUAUAAUGAUACUUUAUGAAAGCGCCAAUGAUUAAAGCGUCAUAAUUUUCUAUUUUUGUAGUAGUGGUUAGACAUUGGAAAAUAUUGUAUAUAUAAAUAUAUUAUUAUAAUAAUAAAAAUGAGAAGAAACAUGAGGAUUACUAUUUUAGUCUUAGGACUUUUGUGUGUAAUGAAGAUAGGAGGGUAAUGAGUUGGUUAUGCAUUGAAUUUGAAAAUUAAUAAAAAUAAUAAUAUUUAGUUUUAAGCUAACAAAGGAAAUAUUAGCAAUAAUAACAGUUUAGUGCAAUAAAUACAAAAACAAUAUAUUUUUGAGAAAUGUAGUUUAAAAAUAAUAACAAUAAAUUAAUGGAAUUUGGAGGAUAAAUUUUGGAAAGAACCCAAUUUUUAGAAGAAUUUAAAAAAUCACAUGUUAAAUUAUUAUUGAUUAAGAAGUUAAAAAUAAUAGGUGACAUAAUAUAGAAAAUUUCAAUCCCAUCCUACUUAUUUAAAAUAAUUAUCAUCCUCGUGCUAGUAAAAGAGAAAAGAAAAAUAGAGUGGGGUGGGUAUAUGAAUUUACCAUAUUAGUCUCACCUCACCCUGAUUAAAGUCUUCUUUUCUAAAUUAAAUUUUAAAAAAUUUAAUUAAAUAAAUGUAUUUUAUAAAUAAUUAAAAUAUUAUAAUUUUUAUAACUUAUUUUAUUGCAAAGUAAUUAUUUUUAUUAUUUUAUAUGUAUUAAAAAUGGGGAAAUAAAAAAUUUAAAUUAAAUUAUUUUUUGAAAUUCAUUUUAUAUAUAAUUAGGGUGAGAUGGGAUGAGACAAGGCAAAAUCUGAAACUAUCCUGCAUUUAAAAAAAAAAAAAGAAAAUCUCAAACUUGCCUCACGUUUAAAAAGAAAAAAAAUCUCAAACUUGCUCAUAACUUAUUUAUUUUAAUUCCAAACCAAUAAGGUGGGACGAGGGCCUGUAGCCAUAGAAGACUUGUAGGGAUUUUACCCGAAAAAUCUCACUCUAUUGUUAUCGUACUCCUAUCCAAGUUGAUAGUCAACUUGUAUACCUUGUUUUUUUUUUUUUUCAAUAUUCAAAUAAAUCACAAUUUAAUUUUAAUGGUCUUUAAACUAAAAGUUCAAUUAAAUGAAUUUUUUCGUGUCAUUAGCUUUCACAACCUCGUAAGUGCUAAUAAUAUUCAAUUUCAAAUAAUCAUCAAAGUCUAUACAACCAUUUCUAAAUCAAAUGUUCUCAUAGUUUAUUUUCAACCAAUCAAAGUAUAAUUAAAUUACAUAUAUCCAAAUUCCCCAAAUAAAUACACAUCUAAUUUCCCCGUUGCUUGGUAGGAGGCCUUACACCCAACAGGGUUAACAAGUAAUAAUCAAAGACUAAAAAUACAUGAAAUAUUGUAAAAUUAUAAAGUGACAUGAGAAGAAAACAAGAAAGAGAAAUCAGAAUGUAGGAAGAGAAUAGAAUUUCAUUAGAGGUAUUUCCCUUUUAUAGGGAGUCACAAAGAGAUAUACAUCAAUAUGGAUGAUCAUCCACAAGUUCCCAUAAUCCGAUAAAUUCUCAUAUUUUAUAACACUCCCCUUUGGAUGAUCAUAAGAAUAUGCCUCAUUAAAACCUUACUAGGAAAAACCCCAUGGGAAAAAACUUUAGUGAAGGAAAAAUAGUACACUAUUCUUUUGGAUUACUAUAACUACCUCGUUAAAAACCUUGCCAGUAAAACCCAUUGGGACAAAACCUGGAUGAAGGAAAAAAAAGUGCAGUAUAUCCAUAUUAUCAUUCUCCCCCUCAUGUAAACAUGAUUAUGAUUUCUUCAACAUUUCAAAUGGUAGAUCUCUCAAUCUUCAUAUUCCAAAGUCAUACCUUAACUUUUUCAAUGUGGUCAAAGGUAACACCUUUGUGAAUAGAUAUGUUAGAUUAUUUCAUGUAUUCAAAUAAAAUAAAUUUUCCUUCACUAAGGUUUUUUCCCAUGGAGUUUUUCUUAGUAAGGUUUUAAUGAAGUAUAUUUUUAAGAUCAUCUAAGGGGGAGUGUUAUAAAAUAUGAGAAUUUAUCAGAUUAUGGGAACUUGUGGAUGAUAAUUCAUAUUGAUGUACAUCUUUUUACGAAUCCCUAUAAAAGGGAGAUACCUCUAAUGAAAUUCUAUUCUCUUCCUACAUUCUGAUUUUUUUUUCUUAUUUUCUUCUCCUUUCACUUUAUAAUUUUAUAACAUGUUAUCAGCACGACUAGUCUCUACAAAAGAAAUAGAAAUAUUUUUCUCUAUUCAGAAAAAUAACAAGAUAUUCUUUAUUCUUUCUCACAAAAAGGUAUGUGAUAAACUUAUAUCAUGAUUUUCUAUUUUAUUACCUUUGAUCUCUAUUUUCAUUUAUUUUAUUUGAAUAUAUAAAUAUAUAUAAUCUCAAUAACCGGAAGUUAUGGGGUAAAUUCAUAACCAGAAGUUAUAAAAAUUAUGUGCAAUUCCUAUAACCAGAAGUUAUGAGGAAAAAUUAGAAAAUUACAUAUACAUAACCAGAAGUUAUGUAUAUGAUCUCUAAUUAUUUAUUUUUAAUUAUACGGUAUAACUGAAUGUUAUACCAAACAAUAUUAUAUAGCUAGAAGGUAUAAAAUAAAUAAAUAAAUAAAUGUUCAUAGCCUGAUUAUUUUGUCAGAAUAAGAAAAUAUUUAAAUUUGUACAUAACUUAGGCCAUGAUUAUUUUGUCAGAACAAGAAAAUAUUUAAAUUUGUACAUAACUUAGGUCAUGAACUGUUUUUUAUAUAAAUUUAUAUAUAUCUUCAGGCUAUGAACUAUUUAUUGUGUAGAUUUGUGCAUAACUUCGGGCUAUGAACUUUCAUUAUGUAGAUUUGUACAUAACUUCAAGCUAUGAACAUUUAUGUAUUUAUUUACUUUAUAGCUUCUGGCUAUAAUAUUGUUUGGUAUGACAUCCAGUUAUACCGUAUAAUUAAAAAUAAAUAAUUAGAGAUUAUAUACAUAACUUCUGAUCAUGUAUUUGUAAUUCUGUAAUUUUUCUUCAUAACUUCUGGUUAUAGGAAUUGCACAUAUUUUUCAUAACUUCUGGUUAUAAAUUUACCCCAUAAUUUAUAAUUUACCCCAUAACUUCUGGUUAUAGAGAUUAUACAUAUUUAUGUAUUCAAAUAAAAUAAAUGAAAAUAGAGAUCAAAAGGUAAUAAAAUAGAAAAUCAUGAUAUAAGUUUAUCACAUACCUUUUUGUGAGAAAGAAGAGAGAAGAUCUUUCUAUUUUUUUGAAUAGAGAAAAAUCUUUCUAUUUCUUUUGUAGAGACUAGUUGUGUUGAUAACGUGUUGUAAACUUAUAAAGUGAAAGGAGAAGAAAAUAAGAAAGAGAAAUCAAAAUGUAGGAAGAGAAUAAAAUUUCAUUAGAGGUAUAGGGAGUCACAAAGAGAUAUACAUUGAUCAUUCACAAGUUUCCAUAAUCCGAUAAAUUCUCAUAUUUUAUAACAUGAAAAUAUUAAUAAGAUAUUUUAUUUUAUCCCGAAUAUGUAUAUAUAUAUAUAUAUAUAUCUUGGUAAUUAAUAAAAAAAUACAAAUGGACGUGAAUACACCCAAUCAUACGAUUCACUAUUCUUCUUGGGGUUUCACCUAAUGAUAUGUGUAUGUAAUCAAGUAUACUCUCCAUUUAGAUUUUUCUCGGGUCUAUUGUUAUGUCUUUUAUACUUGUGAUCACGCUCUUUUCUUAAUUUAUCCUCUUAUGUGACAUUUCUUUUUUGUCUCUCAUUUUUUUUUUUCCAUUUUACACCACCUUUCCUCAUUAUAUAUAUAUAUUCACACAAUUAUGAUGCAAAUAUAAUAUAUAAUAUGAAACUAUUAUUUUUAGAACAUAUUUUUAUCUUUUAAAUUGACUCCAAAAUUUAAAAAUUCAAUACACAUUUUUUUUUUAAUUCUCAUGAAUUAAUGAUCAUUUCAUUUUCCUCUAGCACUAUUUUAUCAACAUCAAUAAAAAUAUAAUUUAAAUAACACUCAUAUACCAAAUCACCCGUGGAUAUUACAAGUAUUAACAUAUUUAUUUCAUGGCAUAAUAUUUAUAACUUUUUUCUUAAAAAUAUAUUAAAUAAAUUUUUUUGGGAUACAUCGCCCUACCAAAAACUGCGAACCUAAUCGUUAUUUUUGAAAUUGAGCUUUGUAGCCAUAUUCCCCAAAUAAAAGGUGGUUUGUUUCAACGAAUUUCUGUUUUUAUUUUCAAAGAAAACAAAAGGUAGGUUUUAAAUAUGUUUAGACAAUGUUUUACCGGUUUUUGUUUUCUAGAAAUCUAAAUUCAGAAAAUGGAAAAAAAAAAAAUGAAAACAUCAAUUUGUUAUUUUCAAAAUUUUAUUAAGAAAGGUGAAAACAAUUUUAAAAAAUAUUCAAAACAAAGAAAAUAAAAAUAAAAAAGACCUUAUGGGAUUGAUCAUAAUAUAAAAAAAUAAAUACAAAUAUUGUAUAUAUAAAAAAUAUUAAUAUAAAUAAAACAUGAAAUAAUAAGUAAUGUAUAAAUAUUUGGUUUAUUUUUUGGAUUAGAGAUUAUUUAUAAGUUGAUAUAUUUUUUGAAUAUAAACUAAUUCAUUUUAAUUGAUUAGUCAGAAGAUUAUUAGAAUAUUUUAUUACAUUAUUUUAAAACAAAAAUAAUAUAGUAAAGAAAAUAAAAAAGAAUAAUGAACAAAUACAAGGAAAGCGUGACUUUAUAGUAUAUAUGUUAUAACACAUAACAUAAAAAAUAAUCAUAAUUAUAUAAAAUUUUAAUUAUAUUUAAUUUCACAAUUUUUAAUAAAAACUUAAAAUCAAAAUUUUUUUUUGCAAAUUUUAUUUUUUAAAAGCAGAUUUCAUUUUUCUUAAACAAAAUGUAUUUUUUAAGAAAAUAAAAAAUAGAAAGUGAAAAUUGUUUUGAAAAAAUAAAAAUUAGAAAAGCGUUUUUCAAAUUAAAUACAAUCAAUUAAUUUCUUUUCUUUUCUUUUUUGUGAAUGUAGAUACAUUAUUGAGUCAUUAAAUCUUGUGUUAAAGUGUAGUUUUUUUUUUUCAUUUAUUUUAUUUUCUUGUUUAUUAUUGACUUGCUUCCGGAUAACAUCGAGAGUUGCAAAUACAUCUUAUGAUUGAGUACAAAUAUUAGGUCUUGUCAUUUUCUCAAGUAGGAAAAGAUACGGGUGUUUCGAUGAAUUGAAUUAAUAGUGUUAGGACAUUUGCUUUGUUUUUUUGGUUGAUAAUUUUGUUUCUUUUCAUUAUGAUAUAUGAUUUUUUUAAAUAGUGACAUUUGUAGAUGAUGACUUACUCUUUACUGAAGAUUUGAGACUGUCGUUUAAUUAAUCGGAUGGUUAUAUGUAAAUUUGAAAAGAUUUAAGUAAAGACAAUUUUUUUAUAAGUUAGAGUUAGAUGGAAAGUUUUAAAAUUAAGUUAAAAUAUUUUAAUUAAUUUUUAAAAAGUUGAGAUUUUAAUUUUUUUUAAAAAUCGGAUGUUAUCAUUAGGAAAAUGUCAUAACUUAUCCUACCAUUUUUGAAAGCUUUAAAAGGUUUUUUUUUUAUAAAUAAUUAUGGCUUGUUGAAGGGACCUACAUCAUCUCAGAGAUUGAGAUGAAUUCAGUAGAGUACUCGAGGUAUUGUGUCCCGAGGAUGUAGGUGGAAAGUAAGUGCAAGGUAAAACCAAUUUUUAUUUUUAUUUUUUUUUGUUAAAAACUCUUAAGACGAUGAUGAUGUUAUACAUAUGCAUAUUCAAUAGAUUCUGCAUCAUGAGCUCAAGCUGCUAGAUGCUAUGAAUAGGUCAGGACUGUGGAUGACAUGUGUUUGACACGUGGAAAUGAAGAGUGAGGAUGAGCAUCCAAUUAUUUUUAUCUUUAAUUCCCAUGUUUGAAUAAUUUAAAUUAUGAUGGGAAUGAAUCAAAAAGUGAUUCAAAUGGAAAUAAAAUCUUACUUAUAAGUAGGAUUUCAAUUCUCUCCAACUAGAGGUAUUUUGAUUUCUUAAUGUAAGUUAUUUUUAAAAAUACUUUUUAAAAAUUUAAAAACUAAACAUUUAAUUUUUUUGAAUAUGUUGUUUUUGAAAAGAAAUUUUUAGUUUUAUUUUGUAAAAAAAAAUAUUUUAAAUUAAGAUAAUAUAAUGUAAACUAAAUUUAAUUCAUGUCUUAUUAAAAAAUAAAAAUAAAAAUAAAUUAAAAAAUAAAUAGUUUUUAAUAAAUAUGAAUAUUAAUAAAAUAAUAAAAUCAGAAAUGGUAUAUAUUUUUUAUAAAUAUUAUAAAUAUAUAGAUAUUAACAUUAAUUGAUUUAUUUUGUUAAAAAUAAAGAAUAGUUAUUCNCNAAUUAAUAAUUUCUAAUACUAUCUAUUUUAAAUUAAUAUAAAAAAAUAAAAUUUAAUUUUUUAAGGUAUAAAUGAGCCAAAUUUUUUAUUAUAUGCAUAUAUUUAUAACCCAAUUGUGAAGAUGACAUUCUAAAUUAUUUUAUUUAUCUAUAAUUAAUUAAUCAAUUUUUUAAAAUUCAAAUUAUUCUUAAAAUUACAAGAUUUAUUAAAGAAUUUAUAGUAUUAAUUAUGUCUAUUAUUUUUAUAGUCAUUAUAUAUAUAUUUUUGAGUUUUAAAUAAUUUUUGAAAUUAUAAAACUUAUUAAUAAAUUCAAUACAAAUUCGAUUUGAAAUUCAUAUUUUCUACUAAAAAAAUCGAAAGAAUAAUUCUCUAUUUUAUUUUAUUUUUAAAAAUUGUUUUUAAAAAAUAACAAUCAAAUAGUGAUAUAAAUUUUUUAAAAACAAUUUUUUUUUUUAAAUCAUGCACCCAAAUAAGUUUUUAUUAUUUAGAAAAAAAAAACAAAUUCCUAAGGAUUUUUUCAAAUGAAAAUAAAAAAUUACUUCAAACAACGUAGAAUGUGAGAUUUUUUUUAUAAAUAAAAAUAAAAAUAAAGAAUUAUUUUAAAUCAGAUAUACAAAUAUUAUUAAUAAUUCUUUUUUUUUUUUUCAUUUUCAUUCCUAUUUUUAUUUAACAUUGAAAUAUAAUCAAAUUAUCAUUCCAAUCUUAUAUUCUUAUAUGCAUGCAAACAUAAAAAUUAAAAUUACCAAAUUCAUUCCUAUCAAUAGGGAAUAGUAGUAAAACAAAAUAUUCAUUUCCAUUCCCAUUCUUCGUUAUGCGUACCAAACAUGUCCUUAUCUUACAUAGAAUCUGGCCAACAUUAUAGGGCAUGUGGGGAUCGGGCAGAUGUUAAUUUGUUGGCCUGAAAUUGGAAAUCAUCAUCUUUAUGUCACUAAGAAGUAACUUAAUGAACCUAGCUCAAAUCCAUGCUAUGUUCAGUACAAGACAGUGAUGGUGCUAAAGACGAUAACCUAAUACGUGGGUCCCUUUUGCCUAUCAGGAAAAACAUAACACAUGCGUGCUUCCUGCGACUUCUUUCAUGAAAACUUUUCAGUCUAUUAUCCUUCGCAGUGCCAUUGAGAAACAAGUAUCUCCACAAAUUGGUUCCUCUGAUUUAAUUUGUCCAUUACAGAUAAUGGCUGUUCAAGUUAGCCUAUUUGCCACGUCCCUGGGAUUUCUGUCUUAAUCAUAUAAGACAAUAUAUUGAAUGGGAAAGCGAAGCUACGUGAACUUCCCAACUACGUAUGCAGCCUCUUGCACUCACACUCACUCACACGAAAGUCUAUAAAUACCGAGUUCGUAUUGCCCUUGCAAUCCAUCCAGCAGAGAAACAUCUUUGAGAGUUUCCUUUAUCAGUAGAGUCUUUCACCUCCUUUGCUUUUGUGUAGGAAAGAUGGCUUACUCCAGGACUUUCCUUCUCCUUGGCCUUCUCUUUGCUGUUGUUCUCAUCCUGUCCUCUGAGGUUUCAGGUCGGGAGCUAGCUGAAACAGCCGAAACUCGUAAGUUAAAUUUCUUUCAACUACUUUUUCAGUAGAAAUAAUGGCAAGUUAUAUUAUAUGUUCAUAUACAUAGGGAUAAUUUUGUUUUCUUAAAUUAUGGCAGAAGUGAUCAGCGUGGAAGAUGAGAAGCACGAUGGGUAUGGACACGGACACGGGCACGGCCACGGCCACGGAAAAGGACAUGGGCAUGGGAAACCUGGUCAUGGUGGCGCCGGUGAGGAUGUGGAAGACGAGACUGAGGGGGCUCAGAAUUAGAGUAAUCAAUCCUUAAUUAUGUGGGCCACGCAUGAUUAGGGUGGGUUUUAUGUAAGAUUAUGAAAGCGUAUAUGUCAAUAAGGCAUGUGGGCUAAGGGGUACUCCCUUAGACCAGCAUUGCUGCAGUUGUUAAAUAUGUAGGUCGGGACUUGUAUCUUUUAUUUCUCUAUGUUUUUUAUGUGCUAAAUAAAGUAUGAUGAAUGUUGUCUGGGGGUCCUACCCUUUUUACGUUGCAUUAUUUACUUGGAAUUGCCCGGAAUUUGGAUUUGAAAGGGAUUUUUUUUUUUUUUUUUUACUAUGGUAGCAUGCCCUUCAAUUCUCAUCGAUGGCUUUUACAUUUGCACCAAUAUAAUAUUAGUAAUUUCAACUUUGAACAUCAGUACUGUUUAUUUAUUUCAUUUUUUAAGGAUUUUUUUUAUUUUUUUAUUUAAUUUAAAUCUCCUUGAUUCCACUCCAAUAAAUGGUGCAACUUCAUGACCAAUAUGAACCCACCCCUUUUCACCCUGUUCUUCCAAAUAUAAUGCUUGAAAGUGAGUACUCCCAUGGAAUAAAUUGGUUUCCAAAAUCUCCAUUUAUUGAAAAAAACCACACACCCGAAUUUUCAUUUGGAAACUACCUCUCUCAUGCACCUUUGAAUUCAAUAAUCUUCUAACGUACUUUAAAAUAAAUAUAGCUACUAUCAAUAUUUUUAAAAUCAGAUCCAUCAUUGAAUUGAAAAAGUUAUCGAUCCAUGAUUCACUAAUCGAAUCGAUGGUUGAACCGUAGUCAAACCAAUGAUGUUAUAAAUAUAUAAUUUAUAUUUAUAUAUAAUUAAAAAUAAUUAUAAAAAAUAAACAAAUGUAUAUAAUUAAAAAAUUUAACAAUAUUUUAUUUUUUAUAUGAAUUAAACUAAAAAAAUUCUAUACUUGCAUAUGUAAUAUUAAUAGAUUAAAUCAUGAUAUAUAUGCUAAUAUUUCUAAAUUUACUAUUAUAUGUAUGUAGUAUUUAUGAUUUAAUAUUAAGAAGAUAUAUAUAUCCUAAGAUGAAAUCAAAUUUUAUAUGUCAUUUUAUCAUUUAAAAAUUAUUAAGCUUAUUUUACUAUAUGAAUAUUUUUAUUUAUUUCAAAAUUUUAUUUAUUUAUUAAAAAAAUAAUAUGCAAAUAUAUUUAACAACUGACUUGGGUUAAAAACACAAUUAGGUAAGUGGUCGCUGGUUUCAUUUUAUAUGCCCAGCUCGAAUUUUAAGUGGCUGACGUAGGAGUCUUGGGAAUGAAACAGAGCUGCAAAAUGAUGAAGGUGGGUUGCAUGGACCCAAAUCUUGAGAUAAAGUUGGAAAAAUGAUGGGUUUAUAGAAAAGGAAAAGAUCGUUCAGUUCUCAAAAACCGGUCGGUCCACUGGUUUGGAUGGUGCAUCUGUCGGUUCAUGUGAUUUGAUCCCGAUCCAAUGCUUCUAACGGUUUAACCGUUUAAUCAGAUUGGAACCAUGAUUGAUCGACGAUCUAAUUGGUUAAAUCGACGGACACAAUCUGAUUUUCAAAACCAUGGUUAUUACGAUAAAAACAUAAACAUUCCUCGUUUUAUUGUAAUAUUUGUUAGUAGAUUAAGGUAUUUAAAUUAAGUUGAUAAUUUUGUUUCCUAAUCUUGAUUUAGAAUUCUAUGUAUUUUUUAUUUUUUAUUUUUAUGAUUUACACUUCUAUUAAGUAAGGUUAUAAGAUUCAGGAAUAAAAUCAAUUUCGAAAGAAUUUCAAAUGGAAAGUCUUUUUAAACUUAAAAUAUGAUAUCUUUUUAAAUAUUUCUAAAAUUUAAAUAUUAAUUGUAUUCUUUUUAGUAAAAUAUGAUUUCUAAAUCGAUUAAAAGUUUACUAGAAUAUAUAUAUAUAUAUAUGCCUACUAGAAGAGUUCUCUUCCAAGAAUUCAUGUACCUAAAUUUUAUCUUAAAUUUUAAGACUGUUUGUCUUUUUCUUGAGUUGGAAGACUUUGAAUACAUUUGACAAUAAUUUUUAAAAGUAUUUAUAGUGUUUCUAAUAUUUGAAAAAUAAAAAUUUUAAAGACCAAAAACACUUUUCCAAAUUAUUGCAAAAUGCAUUCUUUGUGGCACUCUCAAUUGAGGAUGUUCUUUUUUGGAUCGACUUGUUGACGUGAGGACUGAGGAGGGACGUAUACAUGCACUGUAUAAGACAUGGUUGGCUAAUUCCAAUUUCCAACUACGUUAUUAAAGUGAGUGAUUUUGGAACCUUAAAAUGAUACGACAGACAUAGUAUAGCAUUUUUUGUUAGAAGGAUCGAAAUCCAUACAUUCUAUGACUUGUGAAAUAUGUUGGAGAGGGCUACCUAUUAAUAUUACUGCUAAUAUAUAGUGUAUAUAUGGUCCCCACCAGUACUUCAAUUCUCUGAAAAAAUGAAAUCUAGCAAAACCACGUGAGGAAAAGCUUUCUCACUGUAGAACUUAUCCAAACUUUUUCUUUGUUGCUAUAUUUGGUUUUUAUCCUCCAUCAACAAGUUAUUAGCAAUCAACCAUUGGCUAAGUGGGAAAUUUACUAGGUUAAAAAAUCACUGCUACAAAAAAUACAUUCAAUGACGGUCAUUUCCUUGGCGCUGGUAAGAAACGUCAAGUUACGGGGAUUUUUGAUAAUUUAAAAUUAAUUUUUUAAAAUACAGUAUAAUAAAAACUAUUUUCAAAUCUAUGAUACUUUUUUGUCACUUUUAAAAGUGUAUUUUAAAAAGACACUUUACAUCAUUUUUAUAUAAAUGAUAUACGUUUAAAACAAUUGAAUUUACAUUGAAGGUGUCUCUGGAAGAGACAAGAGACACCUUCCAUAAUUUUUAUAUCAAUAACACAUGUUAAAAAUUUUGAAUUUACAUUAAAAGUGUCUCUUCAAGAGACACCUUUUAUAAUUUUACAAAAUCAAAUUUAUAUUAAAAGUGUCUUUUAAAUAGAUAUUUUCACAGUUUUCAUAUCAGUUGCAUAAUAAAAAAUUGAAUUUAUACUAAAAAUGUAUUCUUAAGAUAUAAUUUUUUACAAUUUUACAAAAUUAAAUUUAUAUUAAAAGUGUAUCUUGAAUAGACACCUUCAAUAAUUCUUGCAUCAGUCAUCUAUUGANNNNNNNNNNNNNNNNNNNNNNNNNNNNNNNNNNNNNNNNNNNNNNNNNNNNNNNNNNNNNNNNNNNNNNNNNNNNNNNNNNNNNNNNNNUUGCAUCAGUCAUCUAUUGAAAUAAUGAAUUUAUACUAAAAGUGCAUUUUAAAAAACACAUUCCAUAAUUUCAUAAAAUUAAAUUUAUAUUGAAAGAUUAUUCGUUCAAGAGACACUUUUAGUAUAAAUUUAAUUUUUUUGAUAGGUGAUUAAUAUAAAAAUUGUGGAAAUUAUUUCUUCAAAAGACACAUUUAGUAUAAAUUUAAUUUUGUGGAAUUGAAUAGAUUCCUUCAAUGUAAAUUCAAUUUUUUUCACUGUGUAACUGAUAUGAAAAUUAUCAAAGAUGUCUCUUCUAGAGACACCUUUAGUAUUAAUUUGAUUUUAUGGUAUUGUGGAAAUGAUAUUUCUUUAAUAUAAAUUCAAUUUUUUUUAACGUGUAUGACUAAUAAAAAAAUUAUGAAAAAAUAUCUUUUGAAGAAACACCUUUAACAUAUAUUUAAUUUUAUGGAAUUAUAAAGUAUGUCUCUUCAAGAGACACCUUUAGUGUAAUUCAUUUUUUUUGGGGAGAAUUAUGUUUUGGGGGUAGAUGGGCUCUCAAAUUAACAAAAGGUCCAUAUAACUCUUCAAAUUGAGCCCAAGACCCAAUGAAAGUAUGGAAAUUGAGUUGAAGGAUAUCAUUCUUCAGUAUUUACAAAAAUACCCUUUGUUGAUUUUGAAAAAAAAAUUAAUAUUUUUGAAAAAUACUUUUAUUUAAUUUAAUAUUUUUUAUUUUAUUUAAUAUUUAAAAAAAUACUUUUAUGUAAUUUAAUAUUUUUAAAAUACUUUUAUUUAAUUUAAUAAUUUUAAAAAAUAAAUUUAUUUAAUUUAAUAUUUUAAAAAAAUAUUUUAAAAAAAAUAUUUUAAAAAAAAUAUUUAAUUUAAUAUUUUUUUAAAUACUUUAAUUUAAUUUAAUAUUUUUGAAAAAAAAUUUAUUUAAUUUAAUAUUUUUAAAAACUACUUUUAUUUAAUUUAGUAUUUUUGAAAAAAAAAAUUAUUUAACUUAAUUUUAUAAAAUAUUUUAUAUGUGUUUUUAAAGGGUAUAUUUGUCCGUUACUAUUUCAUAUCCUUCAACUCAAUUUGAAGAGUUACAUGGACCCUUUAUUAAUUUGGGGCCCAUCUACCCCCAAAAGAUAAUUCUCCCUUUUUUUUUUUUUUAACAUUUAUGGUUGAUAUGAAAAAUAUAUAAGGUAUUUCUUUAAGAAACACAUUUCAAAGUGGGAAAAAAAUGCCGUAGAUUUGAAAUUAUUUUUCAAACUACCAUAGUUUAAGAAUUAUUUUUUAAAGUACCGUUUUUUAAGAAUUAUUUUUUAAAAUAGCUGUAUAAGUUAAAAAAAGCCCCAAGUUACUGCAGGAAACACAUUGAGGAGUCAUGGAUGGUGGAAGUAUAGCUUUGCUGCUCCUGGACUUUCUGGACAGUCCCUUUGGACUCACAAAAGAGUCUUCAGUCACUAAAGAGGACAGAAAAUUCAUAUUGUUCGAUUUGUGUCAAAAUCCACUCGUAGAAAGUGGUUGUUGCAUCGUUUUGGAUCGCCAUAUAGAUGGUUUUGAUUCUUGUCUAAUUUUCUAUGAUAGUAAUUUUUCUUAAGUUUUCUUAGUCUCAAAAAGUGUUUAUUUUAUUUUAUUUUUUUACAAAUUAUAAAUAAAGUUUGAAUGCCUUUGGAUGGUUUAUUUCUCAAUUUUUAUGCCAAAUUUUUUGGUACAUUUCUUAGGCAAUAUCAUAUGUUUAUAUAUCAUUAAUUUGUUCUCUUAAACAAAAUUUGUUGUCAUAAAUAGGAAGAUUACGAAUGUUUAUGUAAUUGCAUGUUAAUAUUAGAAGUUAUUAAUAUAUUUAGUUACUAUAUUAUAAUUAUAUAUUUAUUAUUUAAUUAUUAUACUACAAUUAUUUUCUUUCUUUUUAGAAAUAAUGAUAAAUUAGUCUUUAUUUUCUUUUAUUAGACUUAUUUAAAUUGUAAUUGUCUUAUAUUUAUUUUAAAGAGAAUUGAUAAUAAGAAAUACCAAAUUUUCUUUUCUUUUCUCUUUGAAUCUUUUUUAGAUUUUAACAUGGUAUUAAAGCCUAGUUUGACAGGAGGCCAUGAGUUCGAGCCACCUCUUCACAUCUUUAAUGAGACUUUUGAUUUGUAAUUUCAUGAAAAAGAGUUUAAUAUCAUACGUUGUUUUCGUAUCUGUUUGAUCGUGAGAUAUAAUAAUGGGUGUUUACAUAAUUCUUUUCGUGUUUGAUCCUAAUAUUUGAUUUUGUAUUCAUUUGUUCGAUAUAAUCCAAAUUCUAUUUGUUGGAUAUGAAUCCAAAAUUCUGUCUAUCUUUCUUUUUUCUAUGUUGUUGAAUAUGAAUUCAAAUUAUAUUUGUUUCUAUUUGUUAUAUAUGAAUUCAAAUUCUCUUUGGCUUUGUCUUUUGGAAAUGAAUCCAAAAUUUGUUAAUCUUUUUUUCUUUUAUUUCUCAUUUUUCUAUGGUUUUAUGUCUUCUUCUAUCUCUAUUUAUUGAUUUCUCAUUCCUUGAUAAGUUUUAUGUUGACUUCUAUUUUUCUUUCUUUGAUGGUUUAGUUUUGUGUCUUUUUUUUUUUCUUCCUUUUUUUUCCAUUAUAGUUUUAGUUUUGUCUUAUUGUACUUUUUCUUUGAACAUAUGCUUUUUCUAUUCCUAUCGAGUCUCAUGGUGUCUUUGUGUUUGAGCUUGUUCACAUUGGUCUUUUUUUGUGAAUGAUACAAAUAAUAUCCAUGCAAAUAUUGAUAUUUGACACUUCAAUUAAACGGUGCAAAGCUCGAUUGUUUGCUAAGAGAUUUUUUCAAUAGUAUGAUUGUAAAGUUGUUUACCAAGUCAUACUUAUUUUCACAUUUUUUUAUUUUCGAUUAAAAACUUUCAAUACUUUUCGUAGUUGCAUUUUGAGCUUGUGAGGCGUGUUAGACGUUAUUAAUUAAUAUAUUUAGUUACUAUUUAUAAUUAUAUAUUUAGUUACUAUAUUUAUUUAUUUAGUUAUUAUAUUAAAAUUAUUAUUAUUUUUUAAAAUAAGAGUAAAUUAGUCUUUAUUUUAUUUUAUUAGACCUAUUUAAAUUGUAAUAAUGUUAUAUCUAUUUUAAAGGGAAUUCAUAAUAAAAAAAUCUUAAAUUUUCUUUCAUUUCUCUUUUUUUUUUUUUCUUUUUUAAUAUUUUUUGAAUUUCAACAUGUAAAAGUCUUAAGCAAGCCAAGUUGUUCAAAUUGUAAUUAUCUUUAUUUCUUUGAUCAAUCACAUUCCUAAUAUCUAUAAAGACCAUGAAAUUAUUAUUUGAUGAGAUGGUUAGAGUGAUGAGAGAAAGUGAUCGGUUGUCAUAAAUUCAUGUGGUCUUAUCAACCCUACAGGAGACUAAUGUUGGUUAAUCAUUUUCAUUUGUCGUCUACGAUGAGUCUUUAAAUUCAAAUUCAUCUAUUAAUGUUGACAACUUCAUCACAUCCACCCACUCAUUACUUUGCAUAAUCCCAUCUCUCCUUUCGUUAUUUCAAAUAUUGCGUAGCACACUUUCUAUAUUUUUUUUUAAUAUAAUUUUUUAGAGUCUUUUAAUAAAUCUUUUCGUUUCUUUCAUAAUGCCUCAAUUUUUUUCAAAUCAAUUUCUUUGUUGUAGUCUUUAUUCAAUAGAUUCCAUAAAUUUUGAGAGUUGCCCUUGAAUUGAGUUAUUAUUUAUUGUUAUGAUUUUACUACAAAAUUUACAAUUUCUUAAUAUUUUGCACAUUUUUCUUGUGUCAUAACUUUGAUAUUCCGACCCUUAAUAGAAAUUUCUAAUCGUGACACCAUAUGUUGAGACGUACACAGUUGUGAUAAUAAUUUUUACUCAAAAAAUAUUUUAUUUUAUUGAACUUAUUAACCAAUCUAUAUUUAUAAUAAAUUAAUCAUAUUUAUGUUAUAAGUCUAAUUCAUAAUUAAAAUAAGACUUAUAAAUAACAUUAAAAAAAUUAAAUAAAUAAUAAACUUGAAAUUUUCCAAAUUCCUAAAAUUCUUUUGAUUUUACUUCAGGUGGAAUUAAUAUUUUCAAUAUGUUAAACUUAUUAAAAAAAUUCUAAAAUUAAAGUUAUAGUUAAGGAGGGUUUAAGCCUUGUUUGGGAUGACAUUUAGCUAUUGCUAAACUAAUUAAUAUUGUAUUAUUUUUAUGUUUAAAAAAAUAGUUAAAUAAAAAUUAGUUAAGAGUUUUAUCCAAGUUAGGUCAGUCCUUUAAAUGCUGGCUUUAGCUUUUGAAAAGCUCUCCCAAAUAGGACUUAAUAAUAAGUGUCAUUUUGGCAGGUUGCAUGUUGAGUGGUAUGAAGCCGCAAAGUAGGAAGAUGAUGGCGUUCACAUUUGAAUCAUAAGAGUAAAGAACAGAGAAUAAGUAGGUAAAUUAAUUAUAUUGUUCAUUUGAUCUUUUUAUUUAUUUAUUUAUUUUUAUAGAUAUAGAGUUAUGACAAAAAAGGACAAAAAAAAAGUGAUUUAAAUGAUACAUACUUAAUUAUAGGUAAUUUAUCUAUUGUUGGACCUUUAACCUAUGUUUGAUUCUCAAAAAAUUUGAGAGAAAAUGUAUGUAUAUGAAAGAAAAUAGAGAAGAAAAAUAGUAAAAAAAAAAUGAAGGAAAAUAAAAUAUAGAUUUAAAGUUAAUAAAUUAAUUUUAUUUACUACUUUAAAUUUAUUUAACUUAGUUUAACUCCUCAUUUAAAAGAUUAAAUAAUUUGAAAAUAUUUAAGUUUUUAGCUUAUUUUAAUUAUAUUUUAUUUUCUUUUAUGUUUUUUUAUAGUACAAUCAAAUAUAAGAAAAUAAUUUUUCUUAUUAUUUUUUUUUUCUUAGUAUUUUUUAGGAAUCAAAUAUAAACCUUAAGGAAUAAAGGGUACUUGGUGUAACCUUAAAAAUUUUAGUACUAAUAAUUCUAAAAAAACUUUUGGAUAACCAAAUAAUCUUUCAUGGAGUUCCAAACCUCGGGUUACAACAAUCAAUAUUGAAUAAAUUUGUAGUAACAUCAAAAGAAGUUAAUAAGAAAUUAACAUUAAUGUUUAAUUUUGAUAAUACCAAGAAAAUAAAAAUAAUAAAUGAGAAAGUAAUUAUAUGGUUUGAUAAUGUGUCGAUAUUAUGGUAGAGAGGAAAUCAAUUCAUUAUAUUUAAAGAAGUAAUUACAUUAUUAAAACUCUCAAAUCUACGUGAAUAAAUCUAUUUUUAUAACAAAAUCUCAUAUAUUUCUUAAAAUUAUGCAUAUGCAUGUUGCUCGUGGAGGAAUCUAUCCAAAUAAAUUAAGGUUGGUGGAUACAAGACAAAUAUAAGUGACGUAAGACGGGACGUAAUCAAUCAUCCAAGUGAAACCACGUGUGUGAACUGUGAAGCACAAGAUUAUGGGUUACUCACCCCUUCAACUUCAUGUGGAGAAGAAUUAAUUUUGAAUUUUAUGCUCCAGCCCAUGGCCUGAAACCUAUUGGUCUCACUGUCAAUGCUGUCCUUUUUCGAAUUUGAUGACGCGAGGAGGGACGUAUGCGAUGUACGGGACAUGGUUAUAUUAUUAUACCUUAAUUAUGUUCAUUUGUACAUUUACAUAUACAAACUUUUUCUUUUUUCUUUUCUUCUCUUAAUUAUUUAUUUAUUUUUUAGUUUUUAUCUUUUACCUUUUUUCAGUUUUUUAUUUUUUUAUUUUUUUUAUACAAUUAGUAUACCCUACAGACUUCCAAAUCAAGAAAUUAAAAUUAAUUUUGAGAAUUAUUUUCAUGAAUAAAAUCAUAUUUAGAAACUUAAAUAUAACACUAUAUACUUAUUAUAUAUAAUACGAAGAUUCUCAACAUAAUCCUUGUAUUUUGAAUUAUUAAUUAAAACACUUUAUCAUAAAACACCUUAAUUUUACUGUAAAAAUAAUUAAUUUUUAGAGCAAAUUUAUAAAAAAAGAAAAAAGCUAGACAUGUUCUUAAAUUUUUAAGGAUAACUAAAGGCUGACCAAAUCCGGCAAAAGCACGUGAGAAAAAGCUUUCACAAGCAAAAUCAAUCUAAGGCGUUACCUUUAUUGCUAUUUUUCCUUUUUAUCCCAAUGUAGGCAGUGAAGUAGAAUUUUUCUGACUCUGGAUUCUUUGGGCAGUCCCAAGAUUUGGACUCAAAAGAGUCUUGGGUCAUGGGGAGAGGAGCCGAGCCUAAGGAUUCAUGUCAAGUUAAAUUAUUUGCAAAGCAGAAAGGUUAGACAUUGGAAGCAAAAGGGCGGUGAGCACAGCUAGAAAAAGUGCUUUAUCGACACAUGCUUUUGUUAAAGAGCAAUAUCAUAUCUUUCCACGAGUUUAGACACUUUCCUUCUCUUAAAUCAUAAUAUGUGGAUAUCACAAAUAUUACUUUACGUGUCACUGACUCAACCCCAGAAGUAUCCACCAAAGAUCUCUUUUUUAAUCAUAAGGCUUAAUUAAUAAUUUAGUAAAUUUAAUAAUCAUUUUUUUACAGAUAAUUCUUCAUGGGAAACUCAUGAAAUGACAUGUGAACUGUUUUGUGAAUUGGGUAUAGAUUGAUUAUCUAUAAUUAUAACCGAGGAAGCAUGGAAACCCAGAUUCAAACCGACAUGCCACGUCCCUCCAACUUCUUUAAUGGUACGUGUGGUCACUUUAUAUUGACUCUCAAGCACCAGGACAGACAGAGCCAAGUUGCAUUCACAUUACAAAUCAUUCAAUCAGAUCAGCAAAUGGGCAAUCAAUAUACCUCAAAGGUUCCUUUUUCUCCAUCUAUAAAUAGGGGUUACUCACACUUCACUCAUCCAUCCCUCCAGCAAACAAGCUUCUUUUGAGUCUCUCAUUGCUUCCCAGUUUUCAUUCCCCUAAAGUAAUGGCUUACUCCAAGACGUUUCUCCUUCUGGGUCUUCUAUUCGCUGUUGUCCUUAUCCUCUCCUCUGAGGUGUCGGCCAGAGAGCUAGCCGAGGCUGCACAUACCCGUGAGUUUCCCACUUUUUUUUACACACUUGUUAUAUCAAUUUACAGCUGAUGUACUGUGACUAAUUCAACUAAUCCAAUUUUUUUUUUUUGUUCUAAUGACAGAAGGGAGUGUGGAAGACGCUAAGUCCUGGGGACAUGGGCAUGGCCAUGGACAUGAACACGAGCAUGGCCACUGGGGACAUGAACAUGGGCACGGCCAUGGGCAUGGGCAUGGGCAUGGACACCACGGCCAUGGUGGUGCUGGUGAGACUGUGGAGAAUGAAACUGAAGCUGGCGAGAAUUAGAUAGCAUUUCUAGCUGCUGUAUUUUCACGCCCAUGGGUGGAAGUAGGUUGUGUGGUUUAUGUGAGUUUGUAUGUGAAUAAGGCAUGUGCUUGUCAGUGGUUGCCACCAAUGUUCCUCUAGGAAGAUGGUUGUGUUGCUUUGACAAGAUGUUAAAGCAUGUGUGAAACUUGCAGAUGUCAACUUAAUUAUUGUCCUGAAAUUAGAACUUUUUCCAAGUCCUUUGUCUCUAUAAGCAAAGUAAGCAAAAUAAGUAAGGUAAAAGCAGAAAGAUCAAACAGGAUUUCUCUGCAUAAUUAAGUAUCUCCAUUGAUCUUUUUUAAAUGAAGACUAAAUAUUUGUGGGUUCAGACCUCUUUACAGGUAUUUGUGGGUUCUUGAUUUCAUUGUUCCAUAUGCUCUUACUUCUCAUUGAAAAAAAGUUUUAAGUUAAAUUGAUAAUUAAAUAAUAAGUUUUAAGAUAAUAGAAUUUAAUUUAAAAUUAAUGAUCUUAAAUCAUUAAAUAUUAAGCAUGACCAUAUUAAUCCCACCAAACAAAGUAGUUGGCCAUAUAUGAUUUGCGUUUACCCAUAAUUGAAUAUUGAUUAAAUCAUGUUUAAUAUAGUGAAAUACGUAGAUAGAAAUGAACAAGUAUAGUGAUACAGCUUUGUUCUAAUAGACAUAACAAGGAAAUGAAUACAAAUAGUAUUUUCACCAUCAUAUUGUACAAAAUCAAAUACGUGGGAGAAUCCAUCCAAAGGAGCAACACAACAGAGUUAGCGAUAAGCUUGAAGAACACUUGUAAAGUUGGUGGACAUAAGGACAAAUAUAAGAUGACGUGAGAGGGGACAUCAUCAUUUUUGUAUCUGUCACGUGAGUAAAGUCGAGUCAUAAAGAAUGCUGCCCAAUAGAUGUAGGGCACCAGCCCAUAAACUGCAUGCAUAUGAAGUUGAAUGUUAAAGCUCAACCCCAGCACCUAUCAGCUAUGGGUCGGUCACUCAAUUUUUUGGGACUGGGUGAAGUGAGCAGGGACGUAUGCGAUGCAUAGGACAUGGUUGGAUAUUAAUUUGCAUGAAAUUUUUGAGCUCCAAGCCUGCAACUUGAUAUGGUAAUAUGUAAACACUGAAAAGGAAAUGUUAAACUAACAUAUGAUAAUUACCAAGCAAAAGAUUUGGACCGUUUAAGAGGAGACUAAAAAUAUGUAUGUGCAAUUCCCUGAUUGAUGAUAUCUUUAUAAUAGGUAUCGAAAAUGGUAACUACGUAGAUCCAAAGAAUUAGGAUUAGAGAUGGCAUUACGGCAACUUAGCUUUAUCCUUGCCCACUUCAUUUUGCAGUACUCUACAGAGAAGAACAAAUUAAGCUGGUCCUAUCCUACAUCGACAUGGUAUUCGGGCCACUACCCCAUGUAAUAGCAUAUUUUGUCCAGAUGGCAAAUUUUGAUGGCUUACAAGAAUUUGUGAAACUUCUUUUGUGGCUGCUAUUGCGGGAAAUUAAUCAAAUGGGAGCAUUGUGGGCUGUCUGAGUAUAGUUUUUCUACAUUUCCUUUUCUACACUUGUAUCCAAAAAUCACCUUCUCUGGUAUCCUUCUAUUUGAGGACUCCCGAGUACUUUUUCUUCUUUCCCAACACCUUAUCCCUUUCUCAACAUUAAAAGCCAUAGUCUGGAGUUCAUCAGGGUUGAAACCCUCCAAGUUUUGCAACCCCACAAAGAGGGGGAGCUUGCAAAUCACAAGACUAUUAUUUGUUAGAUUAAUUAAAGCUGAUGAAUUUUAACAUGUUUUGUGAUUUGGGUGUAGAUUAAUUAUAUGAAGGAGGCAUCAAAAGUAACAGGUUGAAACAAACCGACAAGCCACGUCUCUAGAAUUUCUUUAAUGGUAUGGUUAGACAAAAUCUUCACUCUGACACACCAAGAUGAGAACGUGUACCCAUUCACAAUAGGAAUCAUUCAAUCGCGUCAGAAAAUGGACAAUCAGUCUCUCUGAAGCUCUCCCUUUUUCCAUCUAUAAAUGCGGGUUACUCCCACUGCACUCACUCAUCCAUCCCUUGAGCAAACAAUCUUCUUGUGAGUUUUUUUCAGUCUUCGUUCCCCCAACAAAAUGGCAUACUCCAAGGUUUUUCUCCUUCUUGGCCUUCUGUGUUCUGUCGUUCUUGUCCUCUCCUCUGAGGUGUCAGCCAGAGAGCUAGCUGAGGCUGCUCAAACCCGUGAGUUCCCCACUCUUUUAGACACUUUGUAUGCAUCACUUGCUACUAUGCACAUUCUCUUGAGCUGCACAAUAGCACAUGCCAGUCAAUGGUGUUUUUGCUCUAACUGAUAGAUUAACAAAUAAGCAAAGUACCUUUCUAAUUAUAAUUAAACCAUGGAUAUAUCUUGGAGAAUUUCCUCACCACUCCUUAGCAGAAUCAAUACCGUGACUAACUAAUAACGCCCGGCCUUUUUUUACUCUUUCUAAUGGUAGAAGGGAGUGUGGAAGAAGCUAAACACUGGGGACAUGGACACGGGCAUGGACACUGGGGACAUGGACAUGGGCAUGGUCAUGGCCACAGGCAUGGACACCAUGGCAAACCCGGACAUGGUGGUGCUGCUGAGACAGAGGAAAAUGAAAGUGAAGCAGGCGAGAAUUAGGCAGAAGCACUUCUAGCUGCUGUAUGUGCACGCAUACACCGUGCAAAUAAGGUUGUGUAAUUUACGUAAGUUAGUGUGUCAAUAAGGCAUGUGUGAUCAGUGGUUGCCACUAGAGUCCCUAAGUAAGAUGGAUGCAUGGGUUUGCCAAAAAUAUUAAAGAAUCAUUAUGUUAGUUUAUUAGCCUGAAAUGAGAACUUUCUCAGGGCUCCUUUGCAUCUGUUUUUGGCUUUUAAUACCAAGAAAAAAGUUAAUGAAGCAGAAAGAAUAUGGAAAUUCAACUUAACCAAUUUGCCACGUCUCUAAAUUUUCUCCAUUUUCUUCCUUGACAUGACUCAAACAUAUGAGAGAAAACGUUGAUUAAUUCUCUUUCACAUGUAGCUAAGGACUUGGCGUAAUCUCAAUGGAAUAUUCCAAUUCACUAGAUACCUCUAAAAUUAACACUUCCGAAUCAAUCAUGUGAACCCACCGGACGGUCUCUUACUCUCCCAGUCAAUACAAAUCAUUUUAGCAGUCUUUUACCUUAUUUUAUGUUUUGAAAAUGGCUUUCUCUAAAGCUUCUCUUCCUCUUGGCCUUAUGAUUGGUGUUGUGUGUUCAUCAUCUCCUUUGGGUUUUCAGCUUGGGAGUUAGCUGAUGCAGCAGCCCAAACUUAAAGAAUCUCUAUGAAUUGUUUUUUUCAACAGGCUCAAUGAUAUCCUUUUAUAUAUAAUUUAACAUUUUAUUUUUAAAUCAUGAAACUCUGAAGGAUGCCAAUUAGUAUGGUGGAUAUGGACAUGGCUACCGGCACCAUGGCCAACCUGGUCAUGGUGGUGCUGGAGAGGAGAUGGCAGAUGAACCAGAAGGUCGCAGUUAGAUUGUUCAUCCUUAUUGGUACAGUACAACAACAUGGGGUGGAUGAUUCAGCAUAGCUGGGCUUUAUCUCUGUGUUUUCUCAUGUUGUUUCUAACCCUUUGUGCAAUAUAUUUGAGUGCAUAUCAGCGCAUGAUAUAUGCAAAAUAAUCAAAGUAAAUGUUGCUGCUUGUGAGCGUCUCUUGUCAAAGUAUAUAUAAGAAAAUAUAUACUUGAAUAGAGAUUAGUUAGUGAGAAUCAAGUUUGAAAAAGAAUUAUGAGGUUGUUUGAUGUGAGGACAAAUGAAAGAACAAUGACGUGAGAGGUGACGCAACCAUAAGCAUGAUAUAUACUAUAGGGCUUAGGAUGCAUCCCCAUGUAGAAAUGUAGGGCCCCAAGUCCCUGAGUUGCAUGUGAGGUUUAACUUAGAGCUCAAAGCCAAGAGCCAUCACGCUCACCCUUGGGUCACUCAGCGGUAUUCUCUUCAGGACUUCGUGACGUGAGGAGGGACGUAUGCAAUGUACAUGAUUGGUCGAAGAAUUUUGUUAUCCAAGAGAUCAUUCUGAAGAAUAUCUUUGAACCACGAUAUGACAUGCUAAUAUCAUUGAAGUUAAAUCAGCAACUUUCUAAAAAUAUUGGUAAAAAAAAAAAAAAAAGUUAAAAUGAUCAUAAAAUUUUCAAUUUAUUUCCAUAAAAAGAUCAUUUAAAAGCUUA